AUGGCUCAAUAUAGACUGGUCCAGGUAUACCGGUCAGUCUUGAGCCACCAGGAUAGCCUUCCACAUAUCCUGUUCCUCCCUUGAGUGGUAACUCUUUUCUAACCUUAGAAUCCUGAACCAAUUUGCUCGAAAGACUCUGCCAUUGGAAGGAGUCCAUAGGUUGAUAAAAUAGGUUUUCGUGAAAACCACACAUAGAUAAAAAAGGUAAGAGUUACACGUGCCAAAAGCGAGGAAUACCACUCAGAAGCCCGAUUGAACCUGUCCUCAUUCACUGCUAUCUCCAUAUAUUGGAUGCCAAGCUUGAAAGGGUAAUGGUCCGAGAGGAUGGGGCUGUAGUCUUCUAUGAUGCACGCUACAAAGAUGAUAUGGUCUUCGGCUUACCGAGAGGGGAUAAGUCCACGCGAGUCACCCAGGGUCUCAAAAAGGUCUUAGAUAGAGUCCUUAGGGAGCUCCUACAAGGCUUCACUUCUACUGAAAUUUCCAGAAAACUACCAGGGAGACUACAAAUUAUCGGCUUGCCGCUGUCUCUGAAAAGUGAAGGUCAGCUCCACGUGGGUAUUCCAUCCGGACGAUGGGAGAAGAGGAUGACACUUGUUCGUAUUGAAAACCGGAGACGAAGGGAAAGAGGUUUGAUUGGAACAUGUUCUACAAGAACUCCUGUGUAGAACAUGCCCGUAUCUAUUCUAUGGGCUGGCUUUAGGCCAACCCUACUGUGGAAGUAGAAAGCAUCAUAUUCCGGUUUUUCCAACACUUGACUAGGAACCGGGCGCAGAUAUCUAUCUAUUAUUGCCUGCAUCGACAGCAAAGUAAACUCUCGUUGAUGAUAGAAGAACAACUCUUAGGGCAGUUGGAAGGAAACUAUGAGCUAUUUAUUGUUCCUUUCUUAGAAAAAAAGGAUAAAGGAUGGCUUAUGGUCUAUUUUCUUACUUGACUAUCCUUCCUGACUUGGCCAAUAAAAGAUACCUAGCAUGACACAUCAGCUACGCCAUCUGAGCCUGUCCACUUGCUAGUCAGGAAAAAUAACCGCUCCGUUCCGUGGGCUUCUUUCGCAGCUCUCUUCACGCUCGCUUUACGAGUGCAACCAAGUUCAUUAAACUGUUCAUGCUAAUUCAUAGACUAUGCUGGUUUCUAUCUAAGAGUCCUGUGAGACGCUUCCUUCUCAUACACAUCUGAAGCAACGUUUGAUCAUCCGCAUUAGAGAGUUUUGCAGGUCCUUGAGAGAAUGUUAUCCAGUCAGUUAUGACUUGACCAUGGUCUGAGGUGAAAUUGGUCCUGGUCCAUAAAACGAAAGGUGUUGGGCAAGCGCAGAGAAGUCGUCUGAAGGGGAGUUCCAUAGGAAUGUUCAACUUCGGUCAACCUUGCUUUGGUCCCAUGCCUAAAAAAGACAGAAGGUCAAAAACAAAAUAGGGGUGAUAUAACCCACUGCUCGCUUAAGAAUGUACUGACGUAAUCCCUACUAUGGCUUCCCGAAGGAUCCAACUGCUAAGAGGGUCCGAGCCAUAACGGAUUGAGGCUUCUGUCAGAUUCACGCGAGCCAAAGCAUUUGGCAAAAAAAGCCCACACUCAACUAAACAUUGACGAUUCUUUUCCAGAAAUCUCAAGAGCCUUUUGUUUAUUUCAAACGCUUGAGACUGAAGCCCAUUCAAAAUAUCACACAUCUGCUUGUAUUCUUUUUUAUGUAACUUUAUAUAGAAGUGGUUUAAGUCAUGGGAAGUUAAUAGCCGAAAGUGAUUCUAGAUAUCCCCCGUGGGUUUGUAUAAGUAACCUCCUAUCAGAUCCGAUAAUGUAUCAGGAUCAGACCCCCUCUCUGCUGGUUGCCAAUCCAAGGGUUUGCAAAGCAUCGGAAGAUUGAGUUUGAUAGGGAGAAGAUUUAUGUUCAAAUUGCACAUAACAUAACAAGAAUUCUCUAUAUACCCUUGACCUUUCUUACGAACCAGCACUGGAUCUUCUUUUGUUACUCCCCUAUCUGUUGAUAUAUGUAGAACAUUUCUUUCCCCGGCUAUUCAGCCAUUACUUGCAUAUCAGGUUCUUUGUACCCUUUUUAGUGCCAUGCACACUGAGGUUUCUGGCAUGAUCGAAUCUUUUGAGCAUAUCGCUUAUUACGUUAAUUUCUUCAUCUUGAUGUACUCAAUCCAUUCAAAUUCCAUAAUUCCCAGAAAGUUCAUCAAAGGAUUGUUUAUGCCAUCUCCAUAGGGGUCCGUCCGGUUCUUCCUCAAAUGGGUUGCCUCAAUCUUUAUCAAAGUUUUGGUAUCUAGCUUAUCCAGCUAUAGUAUAGGGAAAAGAGUCGACUCGAUCGACCAGGAGAAGCAAAACAAAAUCCAGAUUUGGCCGAAAAAGAUGCAACGUUAUGGAUACCAUGACCGAUCACCAUCGAGAAAGAAGAAUUUUGAUAAAUCACUUGGGGUGAGCGGGGCCUUCAAGCGGCCUCAAUACGCCGGGGUUGUAAAUGACAUACCUUUCCUUAUGGGAAAUGCCGCUUCCUUACUACAAAGGAAUAGAAUCAAGUUCUUUUUACCAAAGAAGUCCCGCUCUGACGGCCCGACGAGUCAUCUACUAAAAAGGACCCUCCCCGCUGUGCGCCCCUCCUUGAAUUAUUCGGUCAUGCAAUACUUUUUUAAUACUAAGAAUAAAAUGCAUUUCGACCCCGUCCUAGUUCUCAAUCAUUUCGUGGCACCGGGUGUGGCUGAACCAUCUACGAUGGGGGAGCGAAGGGAGGAAGCUUAGAUAAGAGAAUACGCUCUCACAUCGCUUUUUUAGAAAGCUCUACCAGCGAGAAAAAGUGAUUGGCCCGAGCCAAAAAGAGGUUGAUCGACUUCAUUCGCCAAGCGAAUGAUCUUCGCUUCGCGGGAACAACAAAAACCACCAUAUCGCUCUUUCCUUUCUUCGGUGCUACCUUCUUUUUUCCAAGGGAUGGGGUUGGGGUGUAUAAUAACCCUUUUUUGAGCAUGCCCGGAAACAACUCCUAGCUCAAUUUAGGAUCAAAUGGGAGAUGCUUCUCUAGAGUGUCCCAUAUAUGUUUUCUAUCUUCCAUACGGAAACUGUCAGUUCUCAGAAGAUCUUCUUCAGUCUUACUCAAAAGGGCCAAUAUACAGUCAUAGCAGUAAAUAUAAUCUAGUACUAAAGAAUAUAUAACCUAUCUACAUUCAAUAUAUAGUCUCCUAGACCAAGACUAUAAUAACUCCAUAGUAUAAUACUAGAUAGGUUUUUGCCAGCACAGUAUCCACUUAUACGUUUAACUCCUCUAGAUCAAAAAUGAGUGGUUUGAUAAUAUGAAUGGAGGGAUUCAAGCUUAUUUUUGUUAACCGAGAUGCAAACGACUAACAAACUGGAUUCGAAGCCACCUGUCGUAAUAGUACCUGCGGGUUCUUUCUGUGGAGCCUUCAAAUGCAAUAGCUAGCUGCCCAACGGCCAAUGCCACAGGCAAAUCUCCAUUUUCCAACUUAUACAACUCUUUGGGGUCCAAAGAUACUCGCCAUUGCAACUUAAUAAAUAGGACCGGUGGGAUCGCCUUCAAUAGAUAUACCGGUUUCACUGCUUUCGUACCCUUUGUUUUGGUCAUGUGGAUGACCCGCAGACCGUAGAUAAGAUGGAUACCCAUGUACUGCCUUCAAUGAAGAGAGUUUUACCAAGGACCCUUAGACAGAUAGGGGGGACAGACAAGAGGUAUGCAACCUGCAGAAUAUUGUCACCGAAUCGCUCACUGACAAAUACUUAGGGCUCCCCUCCCUGGUAGGAGUGGAUAGGAGCGACUGCUUCCAACACUGAAUUGAGAGAGUUUGCACUCGGAUUAAUGGUUGCAAAGAGGAAGGGCUAAUUGGCUCCGCCAUGGAGACCGAAAUACGAGCUUCUUUCAUCACAUCAUUUUGCAACGGAGAAAAAAGAAGAACAUAAUAAAGUUUCUGAAUGACUCAAACGGCAACAGGAUCGAAGGUAAUGACCAGUUAGCAUCUCUGAUACAGGGUUUCUUUGAGGGACUGUUCACCUCAGCAGUCCUAGCUCCCGACCCUGGGCUACUGGGGAAAGUAAACAGGCGAGUAACUGAAGAAAUGAACGCAAGCCUCUUGGCUCCGUUCACGGCAGAUGAAGUAAAGGCAGCACUCUGAAUUCAAUCGAGAGUUAGGUAUAGUAAUCUUCAGAUAUGACAAUACCUCCCCCAAAGCAUUGUCAAGUGUUGGAAUUAGGGCACCAACCACGAAUAGGAGUUGUAUAGAACUCCGGAAAGAGACCUUUGAUGAAGUCGGCAUCCUCCCAAGUGGCAUUUGCUUGAUCCAAACUAGCCCACUUCCUUGGUUGCUGAAAAACCAUGCAACGCAAGUAAUUUUCCACACACUGAUUCACACGUUCUGUCUGGCCAUCUGAUUGUGGGUGAUAGGCAGAGCUAAACCUCAAUUUCACUUGCAGUGCUUUGAAGAAGACCUGCCACAUGUUACUUGUGAAUAUCUAGUUUCUAUCAGAGAGUAUUGACUUUGGCAAUCCAUUCCACUUAAAAACAUUAUCCAUGAAAGCAUGAGAGACUGAUUGUACUAUAUAAGGGUGAGAAAGGGGAAUGAAAUGAGAAUAUUUAGUGAACCUGUCCACCACCAACAAUAUGACUUCUUUGCCCAAUGAUUUGGGAAGACCCUCAAAGAAAUCCAGGGAGAUGUCAGUCCAAGCAGAAGUAGGUAAUGGCAAUGGAUCUAGGAGACCAGGGUAGUGGCAAUGCUCUCCCUUGACUCUUUGGCAAACUGCACACUCAUGUAGAAAAGUUUCAAUCUCCUGGCCUGGCGCCAAUCAAAUAGCUUUUUUACCAUUUGAUAAGUAGCCACAAUGCCUGAAUGGCCUCCUAUGGGAGAGUUGUGAAGUGAAUCAAUGAUUUGGUGUUUAAGAACAGCAUCUGAUCCCACAUAUAUUCUUCCUUUAUAUCUCAAAAUGCCAGAAUGAAGAGUAUAAGGGGGUGUUGCAUUGGCUGAUACAGUGAGCUUCUCAAGCAGAGAUUUGCAAUGAUCAUCAUUAGUGUAGCUGGUUUCUAUAGUUGAAGCCCAAGCAGGAGUAACUGCAGUGACUGCCAUCACAAGACCUGGAGAUAUCAGAAGUGAGAAUGCUGACAUGAGUAACGAGAAAUCCUGUGAAAAACACAAUCGCCUGCCAGUGGAAGGCUUUCUGCAUUCAGUUAAUCUACGCAGAGUGAAUCGGUCCCUAAGGAACCCCCGAAAGGGCUGCCGUCCGAUGGGUACACGAAAGUGACAAAGUUGCUUUGACUACUGAACCAUGCCUAGAUCGUCGGAGCGAAUUGGAUGAUCGGGCCGAGGGCUGCCCCCUCUUCCCCUCGCUCUCCUUUCCUUAAUAUUCACCGUCGAGUCAUCAAAGCCGUAAACUAAUUCAGAGGGGCUCGGCUGGCCCGGUCGCCCUACGCUACUGGCGCUUCCAAAGGCGAAGCUCUCGUCUUUGGCGACCAGCAAACGGAGGGCUAAAACCUAUAGUUUUGAAGCAAGGGAUGAGCGCGAAAGCCGUUGCGCUUCCGUACACAUGCAUACAUUUUCUUGCUGGGGCGGACACGGUUUCUCUCUAAAGGCGAAGAAAAAGAAGUGGGCGAACACUCGGCCCAGCGGGCGAACAUGCCGGCUCCAGCUCCGCGCACCUGCUCACACCUUUCGAAGCACUUUCACGUGUGAACCGAAGUCGUCUUGCCGAACUCCUUCCUUUCUCAUUUCAGUCCUCGCCUUUUUCAUCUUCCGUAGGGGCCUUUAGUCUUUUGAUUAGAGUGGAGGUCGCGAGAGAGCAGAGCGUACCGCCCUGCCAUAGUCGCGAGGAUCUUAAUACUCGGUCACGACUGUUGUCAUAGUCAAUGACGGUUGAAACUUCCAGGAAAAAACUUCGAAUUGGGAGGGCGAUCCUCCCGGUGAACUGACCGUACCCCAAACCGGCACAGGUGAACAAGUAGAGUAUACUAGGGCGCGUCGAGAGAACCAUGUCGAAGGAACUCGGCAAAAUGACCCCGUAACUUCGGGAGAAGGGGUGCUCUCCUAUCUUUUGAUUAGGAAAGUGGCACAUACCAGGGGGUAGCGGCUGUUUAUUAAAAACACAGGACUCUGCUAAGUGGUAACACGAUGUAUAGAGUCUGACACCUGCCCAGUGCUGGAAGGUCAGAAGGAGAAGUGUGAUAAGCUUUGAAUGGAAGCCCCAGUAAAUGGCGGCAGUAACUCUAACUGUCCUAAGGUAGCGAAAUUCCUUGUCGCAUAAGUAGUGACCUGCACGAAUGGUGUAACGACUGCCCCGCUGUCUCCGACAUGGACCCGGUGAAAUUUAAUUCUCCGUGAAGAUGCGGAGUACCAACGGCUAGACGGUAAGACCCCAUGCACCUUCAUUAUAGCUUCGUAGUGACAACCUUGAUUGAAUGUGUAGGAUAGGUGGGAGGUGGUGACACACAAUGACCAAUCCUGAAAGACCACUCUUUCUUCUAAGGAUGCCUAACCGCCGCACCGAUCAUUCGAGGGGGGGGGGUGGCGGGACACUGCGAGGUGGGUAGUUUAUCUGGGGCGGAUGCCUCCUAGAGUAACGGAGGUGUGCGAAUGUAGGCUCAAGCGUUGAUUCUUCUCGUGAGCGUAAUGGUAUAAGCCUGCAUGACUGUGAGACCGACUGGUUGAACAGAGACGAAAGUCGGCCAUAGUGAUCCGGGAGUCCCAUGUGGAAGGGCUCUUGCUCAACGGAUCAAAGGUACGCCGGGGAUAACAGGCUGAUGACUCCCAAGAGCUCUUAUCGACGGAGUCGUUUGGCACCUCGAUGUCGACUCAUCACAUCCUGGGGUUGAAGAAGGUCCCAAGGGUUCGGUUGUUCACCGAUGAAAGUGGCACGUGAGUUGGGUUUAGAACGUCAUGAGACAGUUCGGUUCCUAUCUACCGUUGGUGUUAAAGGGAGAACUGCGAGGAGCCAGCCCUAGUACGAGAGGACUGGGCUGGGUCAACCUAUGUUGUACCGGUUGUUAUGCCAAUAGCAGCGCCGGGCAGCUAAGUUGGUAUGGAAGAACUACUGCACCGCGGGAAAUCCUUCUCUAUACAAGUUCUCAUACGAGGUUUUUGAACGGAACUUCGAUAGGCGAGAGGUGUAAGCACCGCGAGGUGUGAAGCGAUCUCGUACUAAACGAAUGGAAAUUGACAAUAAUAAAAAAACAUAACUUAGAAAGAGAGGUAAGGUCUGCCGGUUUGCAACUCUGAAGCUGAAAAGGAAAAGUAACGUUAGCCGGUUUCCAGUUCCAGUUCGUUACCUGACUGCUCCGCCUUAACGCGAAAAGAUAGGAAAAGUGCCUAUCUUUUUUAUCGGUUCUAGUUCCUUGCACUUUCAAUAGCGUCCUACUUAGUUUUUUAUGGAACGCAUUUUCAGGCGGAUUCGUUUAGUAAAAGAGGCCUUGUGGUACCUAAUAUUUCCCUUGUUAAAACAAGGCUUCGAUAGGUAGGGUCUCGAAGGGGCCUCCCUCGUUCUUGCUCGUAAAACAAGUCUCUCCUUUGGUUUUGCUUUUUUUUGGCUUCCUUAAUUUGAUGAAAUCAAGCCGUUCGACCACAGAUAGGAUCAGUCGCUCGGGAAAACCCACUGUUUCCUGCCCUUUUCUAAACAGGGAAAUCUGCUUGGAAAAGCUCCUUGUUGCUAGUUCAGUAAAUAAAGAAAGAGUGUCGGACGCUUGGGAGGACUUCCAUUUAAUAGCAAAGCAGUUCUAUUCCUUGCCCGGAAUGCUAAUGUUCGGUUCUAAAUGCAUUAGGCAGAGCCCUUGUUUGCUAUUAAAAAAGGUGUCCAACAAGGACUUGGAGCCUGAUUGUGAAGGAACAUACGCCAGGUCUCGCAAAUCGGCCAAAUAGGCCUCCUUUUUGGAGUGAACAAGCCUUUUCCCUUUGAUCCCUCAUGUGAUCAAAUCAAGUCCGUCUACUUGAAAGUGAAGUACUUCAGUGAGUAGUAGUUCAUAAUGUUGGUCUUAUUCAAGGUAGUUUUUAAAAACCUAGCAAUACCAUUAAGAACAACGUUGACGAGGAGUGACUGAACACUUGAGGGAACGAACGAGGAAGACCGAUCCCAAAUAAAUAGAGUUUCUGACAUUAGGAGGAAUUCCCUUUAAUAGGGAAAGCUUAGAUCGGUACCUCUGGCAUCGGUACCUUGCCUAAGCGCCCUGGGCGACCGGACUCGACAAGGGUAAGAUCCCACUCAGCAGGCUACACCGAUUAGAGAGAGUACGUCGUCUAUUCAUUCCACUCAUUCCUUAACAUCCAAAGCUAAGAAUUCAAAAAGUUAAUAGGUGGGUAGGUGUUCUUAGGUUCGUAACAUGCCUUUCUCGGAAGCCUUGUUGAAUUAAUGGCAAGGGAGGUAUUAGCUUAAUGGCUUGGCUAUGCUUGAGUCAGCUGAAAUCAUUUAUGACGAAUAAAAUCAAUCAGAGGUAGUUACCUCUCUUGUAGCCGGGUAUGAGAGGUCUAGUUCGGUGAGAAUAGAUAGGGAUAGAAAGACCAUCCUGGUGCACAUGCUAUGGGUCUUAUUGUUUGUUGGGAAAUCAAGGAAGACUAGCUUUGGCGUGGGAAGCUUACCAAUUUAUGCGGUGGCUACUCGAUCGAGAAGAAAGAGCAGUUGUUACCCGCCUCCACUAUUAAGCAGCAUGAGCCACUAGACUAACUCGAUAUCCGUGUGUGGAUCCGCCCGAAAAGAUGAAGACAAGGAAGAGCCAUUCUUCAUACAUAGGAGCGAGUGGUCGAAAUGGAAAGCGGACAAACGGAAUUAUGUACAACUAUAAGGUUCAGUUCUUUCUUCUGUCCCAGGUCCUUUCUUCUCUUGCGGAUCUUUCUUACUUUUAUUCCUCAUCUAGCUUACAAAAACUACAUAUUUUUUUAGAUAUGGACCUGGGGUUCUCGCUUCUGCGCAAGCUAUUUCCGAACCUUCCUGCCUUCGGGGAGAUGGGUUAGGUCAUACGCGGGACCUACCCCGAGAAAGGAGGCUUGAGGCGCGCUAAAUACAAUUGCAUUUGAUAAAACAUAUGCAUUUGAUAAAACAUAUGCAUUUGAUAAAACAUUUGCAUUUGUUAAAACAUCUGCAUUUGAGAGAAGUGAAAGUAAUCCAUAUUUGCAUUUGCGGCGACAAAAUCCGGAAUCUGAGAAUAAGGGUUUGGAUUAGGGGGGGGGAGGGGAACAAAGAAGGUAUUUAGCGCAAAGAACUUCUUCCACUUUUGGGGAUUCCACUAAUUGAUAGAAGGAAGUGGAUGCAGCAGGAUUGGCCCCAAUUGAAUCACUAGUAGAAGAGAUCCACGUGCAGAGACUGUUAGGGAGAUGCAGAUGGAGGGACGUUUGGGUUGCUGCUAGAAGGGCUUACGAUGAAUAGAUUGUUGGAAUGGCUUUAAGUGAAAGGGAAUCCGGCAGCUUAUAUAGCGCUAGUGAGAGGCCUCCUAGUCUAUUUUGAUGGACGUCUCCUAAUCCUUCUUUUUCUAUGGGUUCAGGAAUGCCAUGCCAAUAAUAGAUAGAGCAGCUAAUGGUCCAGCCAGAGGCAGCAGGUCUCAUUCCAGACUCCACUCAGAAUACCCGGCUCUUUUUCUAGACUCCACUAGGAAGAUCUUGCUCUUUCACAGAUACGGGGAUCAGACAUGGCUAUCGCUUCGACAGCUUCUCCGGAUGAAAAGACGCCGCCGCUGCCCAAUGGAUGGAGUUGGAGGGACACAGAAUCCUUCCUAAGAUGUGCCUAGAGAGAACAAUCCUUUCAGAAUCUCGUAUGUCUAAGUGAUCAACUACUUGUGCCUCUGAAAAGCUAGAAAUCAGUAAAAGGAAUGAUCUACAGAUAGAGGGUUCAAACCAUAUAGCAGCACUCAUCCCUCCCUGACCCGAGUCCCCUAGCCUCUCAGCUUUCCCUUGUUAAAACAAGGCUUCGAUAGGUAGGGUCUCGAAGGGGCCUCCCUCGUUCUUGCUCGUAAAACAAGUCUCUCCUUUGGUUUUGCUUUUUUUUUGGCUUCCUUAAUUUGAUGAAAUCAAGCUGUUCGACCACAGAUAGGAUCGGUCGCUCGGGAAAACCCACUGUUUCUUGCCCUUUUCUGAACAGGGAAAUCUGCUUGGAAAAGCUCCUUGUUGCUAGUUCGGUAAAUAAAGAAAGAGUGUUCGACCCUAGGAUCGGACUUUCAUUUAAUAGCAAUGCAGUUCUAUUCCUUGCCCGGAAUGCUAAUGUUCGGUUCUGAAUGCAUUAGGCAGAGCCCUUGUUUGCUAUUAAAAAAGGUGUCCAACAAGGACUUGGAGCCUGAUUGUGAAGGAUCAUACUUCAGGUCUCGCAAAUCGGCCAAAUAGGCCUCCUUUUUGGAGUGAACAAGCCUUUUCCCUUUGAUCCCUCACGUGAUCAAAUCAAGUUCGUCUACUUGAAAUCGAAGUACUUCAGCGAGUAGUAGUUCAUAAUGUUGGUCUUAUUCAAGGUAGUUUUUAAAAACCUAGCAAUACCAUUAAGAACAAGGUCGACGAGGAGUGACCGAACACUUGAGGGAACGAACGAGGAAGACCGAUCCCAAAUAAAUAGAGUUUCCGACAUUAGGAGGAAUUCCCUUCAAUAGGGAAAGCUUAGAACGGUACCUCUGGCAUCGGUACCUUGCCUAAGCGCCCUGGGCGACCGGACUCGACAAGGGUAAGAUCCCAAAUCUGUUCCUUUCCUGUUGUAAAGUCUGCACCCUUAGAGGUGGCAUCCCUUUACGCAUGAGCCUUGUUAGUGCAUGUCUCAGUCCCUUGAGACAUGCUCAGUCGUAUGUUAGGAAACCAAAUAGUGUAAUUAGCUUCCCCCUCUAUUCCCGGCCAUCAUAUGGACGAGGGCUCCUCUCCCUCUGCUCUGCUGCCCGGAAAGGUAUAUAUAUACUUAAAUUAGGAAUUGAAAAUGCUUGGGCUUGCCUUAUUCUCUCAUUUAAGUCCUUCAAUUCCCUUAUUCGGAAUGGAGAGGGAUGUUGUUGAAGGGAAGGAACGGAGGAAGAUCGUUCUGAGGAACUAGAUUAUCAAAGGACGUCCUUACUUGCUCUUCUUUUGACUGAUAAUUUCCAAACAGUAAGUAGUUGCCAAAGGGUCCAACUACUUACACCGUUUUGAUUAUUUUUUUCCGUUGCAUAAAAGAGAUCCCUUACCCUUUCUUUAGAAAAUGAUGAAUAUGAAGUCCGAGAGGCUGCGGGUACCAUGGAUCCUCUGACUCCCAAUCGGGUUACCUUCCUGGGUCUCGCCGGUGUUGCCUGUAGGUCAUGAUGUGCCUAGAGAUGGCUGUCUCCUGUCCCCCUGCUCGUGGGGAAUCCGCUCCUGGGGCGUCGCUCUGCUGCGUAUGGCCCGUACUCUAGGCACCUUUGGAGGGCGGGGAGUGUGACAACGUACACGCUUCCCUUUACUCCAUAGGGCCUUUUCCUCAGUUGCAGGGUUUGGUGGCCCGAAAUUGACUUGGCUUCGCCAAAAGGCCUCAUCUCCAAAGACCGGCUCGCGAGGCGUCCCUCUCGCUGUAGGGCGGAGCCCCCUCGCCUCGCUCUUGUGACAUGCUAUGUUUCCCUUCUUCCAUUCUCAAGUCAAGGGUGAGUCCCAUGCGUCAGUUUGUGGAUCGCGGUCUCACGCACUAAUCCCUACAGGUGCCCAUAGUAGGUCGGCCGCCCUACCUAAACCAAUCAUCAUAUUGGUCCCUAGGCCCCAUUGCUGGAAAGGCUCGGCUUCAAAACCGUACGUGGAGUUUCCGCCUCAUAUGGCUCCUCUAGGGAUGGGGGUAGGACCAGCCCAGGCUUGUGCGGUUAAGGUUGUUGUACACGACCUCAGUUGAGCAUUCAGUUAGAGGCGGCGAUCGCAGGUUCGCCGGAGGAGAGGGUGUUGUGAGCAAGAUUGCACAAACAAAGCCCUCCUGCCCGCAACCCUAUUCUAGAAAUUAGGCUGCCUACGUUACUUAUAACCACAGAACGAGCAAUGAAUCCCCAACGACAAACGAACAAGGGGCGGGGCAUUUUCGGGGAGUAGCCCCCUUCAGAAGAAACUUCCUGGCACAUACAUUAAGGGAGCCAUCGAAAGGUGACUGAAACACCUGAAACGGGGACUGCCCGAGCUAAUGAUAGAGGCAAGAACACUUUCCGGCCAAGUCCUAUUAAUUGAUCAUAACGAUAUCAUGGAAAUGCUGCACGGACCCAUAUAUAUAGAAAUAGAAAAAGAAGAACCUUGAUACUAAACCAGAUCGAACAAGGGAUCUUUUUGGAAAUGGGAAGAUCUAGGAUAGGCAGCCAACCUCUUGGAAAGAGCAAUGUGCAUAGACCGGGUGAGUAGGGAUGCAGCUCCGUGGACCGCUCGUCGGGCCUGAUAGGUGGUGGUAUCACACCCUUCUCAAAGGAACCGUACGUGAGACUCUCGCCUCAUACGGCUCCGUCCUGGAAUCUGGACCCCCCCUUUCCUUUGACCAACGGGUCCUUGAACCCAUGGGGGUUACGAAUCAUUCAUUCAUUGAUUGAUUCAAGGUAGCUUUAGCCAUUGUGGGUAGAAGCUAGUCGCCAAAAGCGAAGCAGCGAUCUUCCAGGCCGGAAAGGUUCUAUUUUUCUGACGCGUAAGCUACCACAAAAUGAAUGAAGGAAAAAGGCCUCGGGAUUAGAAAGACUAAAGAGGCAUGGAGGGCCGACUACAAGACUACGACUACAAUACAAGCCAUGAGCGAUAGCGAAGCCUUCAGCCUUUUUUUCGAAAGCCCCACAACUAGCUAUCUUAUAGCAGAUAAGGCAAGCCUACUCAACUAAUCUCAUGUAAACGCUUGUUCGCUAAAAUCCAAAUAGAAAAAGACAACUACUUAUUAAGCAUGUAGUUGAGUGCUCCGUUGUUGUUCGGAUCUUGACCGAGUCCGAGCCUCCCAAGCUCUAUGCUGUUUGGGAACUCAGCAAGGGUCUUACCACCUUCUUGAUUGACUAUAUUUGAGUCUUUGGGGUACUUUAGGAUUAUAUUCCGCGCCGAAGAUUUGUGCUUGUGGGCUAGGGUGAAUAUAGCGGACCAGCAGAUCUGGUAGUUGACAAUCAUUCGGACUUGGUAAAGGUUGUCGCAGCACCUGUAGUAGGACAGAGGACUUAUCGCGAUGCCCGCGGACCAAUUUACUAUGUAUCUGUCGCUGACGUUGGUCAAGGAGGCCACGUGGAUUGGCCUGGGUCUUCUUCGGCUAAUGAGACAUCGAUCCCGAAGCCUUUGGAGUAUCUUUUUGAUAGGCGCCUCUAUCUGUAUGGGGAAUUCAUUGCUGAAAGAUCCCGCCCAGUGUCCCCUUCCUUCCCCCGCUGCCUUCCGACCAAAGGGAGUAUACAAUUUCUUCCUCAGGACACUCAUGCCCGAUCGUGAGACUUCCUGUUGAACGCCUGAUGGCACCUUGCUCUGACCUGAGCUAUUACAUUUGCGUGAAUAUUGCUGUAAUCCUAGCUGGUUAAUUUGAUCUAAACAAAGCACAUUAUAGCUAUACUUGUUUUAUCGGUUCCAGUUCCUUGCACUUUCAAUAGGGUCCUACUUAGUUUUUUAUGGAACGCUUUUUCAGGCAGAUUCGUUUAGUAAAAGAGGCCUUGUGGGUUGGUGGAUGAAGAAUAGGAGAGAGCUUGCUUGAGUAGAAGAUAACCCGCGAGAAGGAUGUUUUGUAGCGCUUUCUCAUACAAAAGGAAAAGGCGUCACGACCGAAGAUAAGGAAAGAUCCCAGCUUUUCAUUGCUCUGUCGCGCCACCCCUCCUCCCAGAGCCGGUUCAUAUCCAUAGAUUUUUCAGCUAAAAGAUACAGUAUAUAUAUCAAUGAAAGAUGGCGCCUUUGGUUCUUGGUACGACUGGUACUUUUUCUCAUUUAUCGGUCUAGUUGGAAAAAUUUCCCCUCAAAGAGCAAGUUUUUCUUAUAUAUUAUGCUGUGCCCUUGCCCCUAACCUUCCUUUCUCUUCUAUAAAAAGGAUGGGCGUCAAAUGUAACUGAUGCUUAUAUUCUAAAUACGUUUACGCUCAAGCAGGGGAAGUCAAUUUGACUGCUGCUCGAGAACCUGUUUGAACAAGAAGAAGUAGCAUGGCUCCAGCGGCGCAGAGCCAAUUGGCUACGACAUGGUGACCGAAAUACAAUUUUUUUCCACCACUUUGCAAUUGCUAGAAAAAAGAGGAAUCUGAUUAAGUACUUGAUGAGCAAUACUGGAGAUCGAAUAGAAGGUAAUGACUUACUCAAUGCACAUAUUUAGGGCUAUUUCUCUCAUCUGUUUAAUACGCAAUUCUCUUCGAUAAGAAGGGUUCUCUUGUGUUCCAGGGUUGAUUAAGCGUCUGGUGGAACAGGGAUACAUUGUGUGAGGCCAACUUGCCUGACGAAUUGAUGAAUAUGGCUCAAUAUAGACUGGUCCAGGUAUACCGGUCUGUCUUGAGCCACUAGGAUAGCCUUCCACAUAUCUUGUUCCUCCCUUGAGUGGUAACUCUUUUCUAACCUUAGAAUCCUGAACCAAUUUGCUCCAAAGACUCUGUCAUUGAAAGGAGUCCAUAGGUUGAUAAAAUAGGUUUUCAUGAAAACCACACGUAGAUAGAAAAGGUAAGAGUUACACGUGCCAGAAGCGAGGAAUACCGCUCGGAAGCCCGAUUGAACCUGUCCUCAUUCACUGCUAUCUCCAUAUAUUGGAUGCCAAGCUUGAAAGGGUAAUGGUCCAAGAGGAUGGGGCCGUAGUCUUCUAUUACGCAUGCUAUGCAGACGGUAUGGUCUUCGGCUUACCGAGAGGGGAUAAGUCCACGCGAGUCACCCAGGGUCUCAAAAAGGUCUUAGCUAGAGUCCUUAGGGAGCUCCUACAGGGCUUCACUUCUACUGAAAUUUGCAGAAAACAACCAGGGAGGCUACAAAUUAUCGGCUUGCCCCUGUCUCUGAAAAGUGAAGGUCAGCUCCAUGUGGGUAUUCCAUCCAAACGAUGGGAGAAGAGGAUGACACUUGUUCGUAUUGAAAACCGGAGACGAAGGGAAAUAGGUUUGAUUGGAACAUGUUCUGCAAGAACUCCUGUGUAGAACACGCCCGUAUCUAUUCUAUGGGCUGGCUUCAGGCCAACCCUACUGCUGAAGUAGAUAGCAUCAUAUUCCGGUUUUUCCAACACUUGAUCAGGAACCGGGUGCAGAAAUUCCUUGAAGAGAAGGGGAUGCCUACAAUCAAUGCCUAAAUAAAGGCAUAUGUCGAAAAGUGCAACUACUAAUAAAUUCAGUAAAGGAAGGCCCGGAACGGGCUGAGCUACUACCCGAAAUAGAAGAGGACGACUAGAGUGGAGGGGCCUAAUUCCAAUCCAAACAAUUGACGAGGGAGUCUAAUUAUUUUUUCGUUCUUGAUUGUUUCAAUUGCACUUUCUUCAUUGGAGGGUUGCUUGGAAAGUGCGAUCGUUACAGCGCUUGGAGUAUACGGAUUGAAUUCUUCCUUCUUCUAUAGGUCUUUCUGGGCGGCGAGGCAGAAAAAAGGUGUAGAGAGGGAGAAGGUACAUAAAAAACGAUUUCUAAGGUAGAAAAGAGGCAUCCACCAGUCAUUGAGAACAGCUAAUCCCGGAAUUAGCAGGUCGGUAUGCGAAGAGAAUUCGGUAUUAAAUCCGCGAGGCCAGGUGAAGAAAAGUCCAAUAUGGGUGGAUUACCUUUUUCUGAAGGAUAAGUCUCUGGGACUGACUGAACUGAAUGUAUAGCGUCAAGAUAAGAAGCACGGUAGUCGAAGAUGUACCUUGUGGGGUGGGGUACGAGUAGACCAGACCAAUGAUGAAAAACAUAGAUACGAGCAUGGCCUCCCUGUCUCAAAAGCAGGCCGCCAAGGGUGCUCGAUUCACAUUUCUAUAUGAUAAUAUGCACGACUGAUUCUCGUAUCUGCUGAUACAAGAGAUUCUUUCCAAAGAUAACCCUAACCCCUGGGUGGGAGAAAGAUGGAGACAAUACUGCCGUUGAAGCGCAAGAGUGAGCAGCAGUCCGGUCAGCCCUUGCUUUCUCAACUUGAGCAGGAAACUUCCAACGAAAUAGGAGGGAGGGGCACUCUCAAAUAGGAAUGCAAACAUAAAAUGCAUGCUCUUGAGUGUCAAUUCCUCUUAUGACCGAAGUGAAUAACAAAGAUCCCUUCCAUCUGGACACUGAAUAAUGAGAGAAUCGUAGAAGUUAUCGGAAUCCGGGGCUAGAGUCUUUGGCUGAACAUCCACAGAUGAUUGAUUCCCUGCGCUAUCAAGUAUUGGAUUGUAGUGGGGGUUAGUUGGCUCAGCAUAUGGUAUAGAUCGAUAGAUAUAUUUGAUACAUCCUAUAACAUGGAGACGGAGAUAGCCAAGCCCCUUUCUCGAAAGGCAAACCCUCUUUAUCAUCCAACACAGGAUCUCCCUAUGGAAUACCACCAUUGUCUUUCUCCAUCUCACUCAAUAUUAUAUAUUGGUAUAAAUAGCUCAGCUCACGAAAUAGAGCGAGCAAGAGCUCGAACUUGGUAGGAAAGUUCGGAUAAGUCGACUCGACUCCUUAGUGCAGCGUACACUUGCUGAAGCAAAACGAGGCUCAUCCAUUUGUUUUGAUCCGAAUCACACUCUAGACCAGCUCUUCUUGUAGACAAGGAACUCCACUUUGACAGUCAUACGAGAGGGAAGAGACUCAAAGUUGAUGAGAAUAGUCGAUUCGACUGGUAUCACGAAUAGCAGUUUUAGUAGAAAAGGGCGUUGAUGAUUGAAAGGAUUUCUCCUCGAACCACUAGUAACUAUGUCAGCUUUUGUCAUUCUGAUGAUACUGAAUCGGAUCAAUAUUUGGAAUAACAAUAUCUGAUCUAUCAAAUCGACUCAUCAUCGAGACUUUCAAAGGUUACGUGGUUGCAGGUCCUCGCCCUUCAGGUUGAAGGAGAUGUGUACUCGACUUCCUUUAAGUAAGUGGUGGCCCAUAAUAGUAGAGAUGUAUAACAAUAGUAGCUUAACCAAAGGGAUAGACUUGAACUCUUCCACACCCCCUUGCCAGAGGUUUUAAGAGAACAACCUUUUGGGGAUACCAAUUCCACCCAUUCGCAGCAAUGGAACUAGCACUUUCUUAACAUUUCCACCGUUCUUGCUUAUUCCCCUUACUUACCCAAUGAAAGAUAUAGAUUGGAAAUUGGAAGAUGGUCAUCCAUAGUUAUCUUGUUGAAAAUACCCUCCCUUACUCAUCAAAAUGUUGGAAGUGACUUGUGGGAAGAGAGAAUAACUAUAGAUGCUCGAUAUGCAUAUUGAUCAAUCGAUCUCCGCGUCCUGCCAGUUCGCUAAGUAGACUCACUCUACCAAGGGGCAGAAGAAGAUCAAGCCGAUAAGGGGAAGCGCUGAGAAAAAUCUCUCUCUUAUCUAAAUAUAAGAGCACGCUUUAUCUCUAUGCACACAGAAAAAGGGGAUCUUGUGAUGAUAAAAAUGGUACGUAUGUGGAUCACUUUGGCUCCGCCCAAAAGCCCCUGAGCCGACUAUCUCUUGGCACAGCCAAAGCAUUUCCUCGCCUGAGGCCUGCUCAAAGCUAACUUGAAUCCGAACAGCUUGCUGCUUCUCCGAAACCUUCACCAGCUUGUGUAUCCUUGUAAGGUCGCGGACCCGGCGUAAGAACAAGAAACGUGAGUCUAGCAUGACAUAAACCCAAACCCGUCACUUUUGAUACUUCUCAUCUCAGGACAAGUCACAGAAGAGGUAAGGCGCUAUAGCCAGUGAAGGAAAGGGAAGAAAAACUAGUUCUAUGUCAAUUCUACAGCCAGAGAAAGAGGGAAUGAAUGAUCGGUCUUGUUCUGGAUCUCUUUCCUUGCGCCCUAGUCCAUUCCAUCUAUCUUGACUGCAACUUGGAUUCUUUCUUGACUCCUAUUUGGAUUGGUAGUCCGUCAAAUCUCUAAGCAGGUGGCUAGAAAACCUUCUAGAAUAGGAGGAAUAUAAGAUAGUUUCUCAUCAGGAAUGGAAUUCGGUUUCCAAUCUGGUCACACAUGACUCUUGCCCUAAAGCAAUUUCUUGAUUAGGAGCAGUGGGUGGCCCAUAGAAAGGAAUGCCUGCCUAUCCAUAGCCGGGCAAAUUGCUGCAUAUUCAAGUCACCCAAUUCUCUUCUCUUGCACUAUGUCUAUUGGAAUGGACCCUUGAUUCUCCAGCAGAUCCUCCUGGUAUGGAAGGAUAUCAUCCACAAAACAGAUUGCGGAAAAUGCCAUCGAAGUUCGCAAAGGAGCGGUCUUCCCAAUCUCUCUUUUAUUUGUGGGAAUCUCUAGUGAGACCUGUGAUAGAAGGGGUAAAGGUGAAUUUCAGUCCUCUUUCUCUCGGAAAUAUACGCCACAUGCCAUUGAUCGAUCUCUCUCAAGCUAGGUAUCGGUGAAGUCCGUCAUUGAAUUGAAGUGGUAGAGUGGUAAGUGUGCGUACAGUCUAUGGAUUUCCUAUCAGUGGCAUUAGUUCCUUCUCUAGAUAGAUGGCUAUUGAGCUUCUCAUUCGUGAGAGUCAUGCGCCGGAUCAAGGGCUCUCUCAUCUCGUAUUUGGAAAUGUAUAGGUUCUGUAUGUAAGUGGCCAGUGCCCGCGGGUAAAGGUUGAUCAUCCAAAGUCAUCUAAUCCAUCUAAGUGCCGGUAUUGCCCAGUGCUUGACUGGAGUUGUCAUGAUACCCGGAUACUCACCUCACUAUACGCUAAUUCAGGGAAAGGUCAUGCUGGGAAGCUUCCUUGAAAGAUAGUCUCAACACUCUCGACAAGAAACGAGAACCCAGCCAACGAAGGUUUAUGCAUAUAUUGGUCCGCAUCCAGAGGAAGUCAAGGUUUCCAGAUGUGCUCAUCCGUGCUUGCUGAUAUGCAAAUCGAUUGGAAUUGGCAAAUCAUAGAGUUUGUCGCUGACAAGAGCUGUUUUGGCCAUGGUGAUCCUCCUCUCAAUACCCAUUCCUGCGAAUUCCCAGUCCAAUUAUAUUAGUCUAAUGUGUAGAAGAAAAAGAGGAAUCCAUGAGAAAGACCAUCUUGUUUGUGGCAAUGGAACAUUCCUUUCCACUUUUUUGAAUGGAGAUCACUGACGAGCACUCUAGCGCAAAUCAAGAGUAAAGGUAGGAGCUAUGAAGCUGUCCCGGGUAGGAAAGGAUCCCUUUGAGUUCAUAUUGCUGUAGGAGAAAUAGAAGGGCACAGAGCUUCUAUAUACCACUGGAUUCCACCAGACUGUUCUGUGGAAAACACGUCACCCUAUCCCUUCCCUAACGGGAACCUGGAUACCAUAGCAUAGGAACCUCGAAAAUACGUAUUAUAGGUUGGUUGUAUACACACUCAUCCUUUAAGAAGAUAAGAGAGCCCCGCGGACAUUUCCUUCCUCGAAACCUGGAAACUGAUACUGCCUCGAUUCUGCUUCCGUCUAUGAUGUCCAAUCUUACUUUCGUGCCGAUGAAGGGCAGUCCGGAAGGUGGAGUUAGCACCGGGCCUAUUCUUAUAAGAAUAAGUAGGAGUAGGAGCACUCUUCUUCCUCAAGCGUAGUCGUAUUAGUUGGAUCCGGCAUCCUUUCGACUGGAGAUACCCUAGCAUUACCGGGUUCCCGGCAUACUGGCAAGUUUACUUGACUCACCCAUUCUUGAGACUGGCCUGGCCACUACUUUGUUUGAUUUCCUUGUCACUGUAGUAAGCAAGCGGCACCUAUUGAUCUACUUCCCUCUAGCAUCACUCAUCCUUACGGCACUAGUCCAUCCAUCCCUCGACCGAAGAGAGUCUUCCUCCUCACGGAACUAGGGUUUGGUAACAUAGACAAGACUUUCGAGCGCGACGUUGCGCACAUCCUCUUGCUUGGUAUCUUUUCUAGUGUGCAUCACAUUCAUUUUCCUUUCCAUUCAUUUUCCUUCCAUGUAGAUAUGAUAAUCUUCGUGGCAUCAACCUCAUAUAGGAGCUGCCAGUAGUACUUUCGCAGGAUUUUAAAGCAGGCAAACUUAUGAUGCGAGUCUUGUUAGAAUAGAACCAGUGCACUCUGAAAUCCGAACCAACCAAUAUGCUUCGCUUUCCUCUGCUCGUAUAGACUCCGUUCGUGUUAGGACAUCCAUAGCCAAUAGUAAUAGUAGCUAGUAGCUUCGCCCCCCCCUUGCCCCCGAAAAGGUUCUCAUUGCUCGCUGGAUCUAGUUGACUUGCUGCUACAGCAAUCAAUCUAUCUAUAUGUUCCGGACGGAAGAGAGAGUUUCCUACAUUCCCAUUCCCAUGAACUGAACAUCGGGUACCAACGAUCAUAGAAGCAAUGUUAGCCGGUUUUAGACUUAUCAGGCGUAACUAAAGAAAGAGGUGAAGCAGAUAGAUUGGUACAUUGUAAUCUUCUGUGGACAUUCUUUACUCAAAAGCAAUUGUUUUAUCUUUCUUGGUACCUUUACGUAUUAUUAUUUCAAAAAAGUUAACAUUUACUGCUUCCUCCCUUCGCUCCCCCCAUCAUAGAUGGUUCAGCCACACCCGGUGCCACGAAAUGAUUGAGAACUAGGACGGGGUCGAAAUGCAUUUUAUUCUUAGUAUUAAAAAAGUAUUGCAUGACCGAAUAAUUCAAGGAGGGGCGCACGGCGGGGAGGGUCCUUUUUAGUAGAUGACUCGUCGGGCCGUCAGAGCAGGACUUCUUUGGUAAAAAUAACUUGAUUCUAUUCCUUUUUAGUAAGGAGGCGGCAUUUCCCAUAAACUGCCCUGGUGAAUCCCUUAUCUUGUUUGCAGCAUCAUUCUCGAUCCCCUUAUUCCCUUCCCAAGAAGGAAUCAUAUCCUAUGGCUAACUCAUCCUUAUAUGGCUCCCGGAUCCUUAAAGAGAAUCAAAGGCUAUCUCGAGGGAUGGUCAGAGAAUCGGUUUAUCUUCACGGCACUAGACAGCACCUUUAUGAGUGCGUAUAAGCUUGCUUUAGAGCUAGAGCGUGCAUCUAAAAUAGUUUCAUAUCCCUUUCCAUCGAUCUUUCUUAUUGCUGUAGUACCCAUUCCUGCUAGCUUGGUCUGGUGGCCUUCUCUUGGCCAGGACUAUAUAUAAUAGUUUAUUGAGUGCUUCUUAGGUUGGUUCUCUUGAAGUGCAUAGCCCGGCCCCUUUUCUCUUUCUUCCAACGGAAAGGGUUCUCUUCUCUUCUGGUAUGGAGUUCGACUAGAGCCUGCCGCUUUUCUAGGUUUGGGUGUGGGUUGAUCUCAUAUCUUAGAGGACAGGGCGGGGCUUAUUCCCAAGGUCAGGUCCCAUGCCGGUGGACUUGAAAUACGAAGAUCUUAAGCUAAGCUACGGGGCUAGGAAUAUACUCCAGGUUGGGAGAUCUGUCCUGCCAUCGGGCAUGCAAGAAGCUAUGUGCGCAGGGCAUCAGAGGCUUACUCAAAUGGAACAUACGAAUCCAACCUUGCUUGACUCUCUUUUUCAUACUUGCCCUCGGGAUCAGUGGUAGAUUCGUAAUGUUAUUACUCAUGGGUAGCAGAUGAUGGAUCCAUUUCUGUUGAAGUAGUGGAGUGAAGAGGAGGGUUGGGGCCCGCCUCACAACGAGCCCGGGUAGCUAGAUAGGUAGAUAGUAGAUAGCAGUCCGGAUAGUGAUAAAAUCUGAAAUAAUCUUCUUCUGGAUUGAAAGAAAGCCUGUGCCGGAAAUAGAGAGAGUUCUGCUCUUGGUUGACAUAGAUCGCUCUACUCUCGAAUUGACAUACAUAGAGUUGAAAACAUACUCCUCACAAAUGAUCAUAGUUCACUACUAAUGAGCGAGUAACUACUAACGUUACGAGCGAAAAGAUGAAUCUACUUGGUUCAUAUCAUAUGUUCCGCUCCGUUGACAGGUUCAUAUAUGUACCUGAUGUUCAUGGAAACAACAGGAUGAUAAUUCAUUGAUGGGAAACUCACUUUGCUAUGCUAGGAAACUGACUAAUGAAACUAACAAGUUCAAGUGCUCUAGUCAAGUAGUAAGCUCCAGUGGGAAGCGCUAGUCCAGAUAGAAAGAAUAGACAGGAGGAUUGCCAGGUUGGUCCGCACAGGUGCAUAUCUGUAGGUUUCAGCACGGGAUUCCAGAUCGUUGGUACCCGAUGUUCAGUUCAUGGGAAUGGGAAUGUAGGAAACUCUCUCUUUCGUCCAGAACAUAUAGAUAGAUUGAUUGCUGUAGCAGCAAGUCAACUAGAUCAAGUGAGGAAUGAGAACCUUUCCGGGGGCAAGGGGGGCGAAGCUACUAGCUACUAUUACUAUUGGCUAUGGAUGUCCUAACACGAAGAUCUUGGUCCCUUAUUUAUAGUUCUAGCAUUAACCGGUCUGGAAUUAGGUGUAGCUAUAUCACAAGCUCAUGUUUUUACGAUCUCAAUUUGUAUUUACUUGAAUGAUGCUACAAAUCUCCAUCAAAAUGAGUCAUUUCAUAAUUGAAUAAAAACGAGGAACCAAAGAUUCUAGGGGGCUAUAGCUGCGCUUUUGCAGCACUGAACAUGGUUCUGGGUACUCAAGAUAUUGCGUUUGUGUUUGGAGAGGUGUAGAUUAUAGAUUCCAGCCAAGAAGACCAGGAAAAGAUAAGGAUAAAGAAUGUCAUAUAUCUCAGGAGCUAGAUCACUUCCCGAUGAACAAGUAAGAAUUGCCUCAACAAAAAUGGAUGGAAUUGGACCGAAAACAGACCAUGAACAUGAGUUUGAAAUGUAAAAAAAGGAAGAGUGCAUUAUCCACUUUCUUAUCUCGAAAAUGCGUAAUCUAGUGAUGUCAUGUGUCUGUUUCUCUGAAAAGGUGGGUCGGCCCUUAGGGAAAACAGUAGUGCCAGGUUCCAUUGUGGAACGGUCUCUUUCUGUCUUCCAUUUGAAUUCCGUGAUUUAUCCUGCUAUUUGGAGAUUAGUUGAUAUGGUCUUUCUUGGGUUUGGCUUUCAAAGUGCAGUUCGAAAAGAGUGAGUUGUUGUCAAUGGCUGGAAUGGAAUAUAGUUGUUUUCCAUCAGACGGCUGUUCACGUAACUCCACUCUCGGCUUGGAUUAUAUAUCCAUUUGGUCCGCUCUCGGCCAUUCCACAUGCUGCCUAGCAGAGACAUGGUUAUCUGAAGUGGAUUCUCUCUUUUGUAGUAGAUGCCGAACCUGCUGCUCAGUGGGCGGGCACAACAGCUACAUGGACCCCUUUCUUUAUGUUGUUGCCAGCGCUUUCCCGGGCCGAGCCGGAAUUUUUUAUUAGGACGUUGGCAGGCAAAGCCCGAAGGAAGGCUGCUAUCCCCUCGACCUUCUUCCUUUUCGAUGAAAAACAAAUCGACAUCUCAAUCUCCGAAAGCAUUUUCCUUACCUAGCUAAUAUCCCCCCCUCCGUCGAGCCUUUCCUUUAGUGGUAAGGGAUAUGCACCUUAUCUGAACGUCGGCAGGCAUUCCGGAAUUCUCCUUUUUUGGCCCUGGGUGAACAUAGGCUCAAACAUGAUUGGAGGGGUCCUAGCUACGCCAUGCGUUCAAUAAAAAAAAGCAAGCCUCCGGGAAGCUGCAGGGAUUAUAAAAAGAGGGUGCUUUCUUGUGUUGCACUGAAAAAAGGACAAAGGAGAAGACGUUCUUUGACUUACUUUCUUCCUCCCGCGCCUGCCUAAGCUCGGCCCACAUUAGAGGGGAAGAUUAGCAAAGCGGAAAAAGAUAGAGGGAGGGGGAGCUGCAUCUUAUUCUCUUCGCGAGAACUUCAGGAUCGGAGAAGCAUUCGGAAGGGGCGAGGCCUUCAUUUCGUUGGCAGAAGCAGAAACGACCCAAUCCAUUCAGGGCUUCGGGGAACCCAAAAACGAACUCUGUUUAUCGUUUCAUAUAUGCGCUAGGAUAUAUAUAGUAUCCUAUCCCCCUCAAUCUCAGGAGUCGCUUUCUCUAUGCCCGACUUACGAGCUCUUUGCUUAUUAUUUAUCGGGUGGGAUGAAGGUCGAAAUGUCUAGUUUGAAUUGCUUAUGCUUAUAUAGUUUGAAUCGUCUAGCUUCAUGCCAAGGUUGUUCUACAAAAGAACCAAGUAAGAAAGUAAGCCCGUUCAAUUGAAAUAGCUUCCUCGCUUCGUAGUUCGAUACCCACUGAAACUAUGGAUACGAUAGACUCGGGAGGGGUAAAGGACACCUCGUUCCGCGAGAGACCUAUCCUCGUUUCGAAAUAAAGGACCAUAGUGAGGAUCGAUCCCGGAUAAGUGAUUCAGUGUAGGGACAGAGGCUGAUGAUUCUAAAGGUGAUUUCUAACUACAAGAUGACUUUACUUGAAAAUGGAAUCCAAAUAUCAACAAAAAGAUGAAUGGAAAGUCUUGUCGAUAUGAAUUGAUCUUCAACCCAAUGACAAUGCUUCGAUUCCAUAAAGAUAUGUGGCCAUGAAAAAGGGAGGGGAUUCAAUGGAACAGGAUUGGCCGGGCGGUAGAGUCGUGGAAACACUUGUUGAUUCCUAUUUUGGACCCUAGCUCCAUGGAACAAUAUUCUACUGCGGAAACAUGGAAGAAUUGCAAUCUUAGAUCAAAACACUAUGUGUGGAAAGCUUGAUAAGGGUCAGUUACUUGUACAUUUGAUUAGUAUGAGCCACUCACAUUGUUUUUUAAGGAUAGGUGGGAGUAGGACCCUACAAUAAAGAGCAGAUAGCCCACAUGAAUCAUGGGAAUAACAAUACGAGGCCUUUGACGAGUAAAGGAGAAAUGCAAGAUUUGGAUCCGCAAUUUCAACAAGUAGUUCGUGCUUCGUCGGCAGGGGAGACUAUACGCCAUGAAAACCCACCCCUGGUAUCUCCACCUAUGGAUUGAGAGUCAAAAAGUGUGAAUUUCGUAUGUCCCGCUGGCACACGAUUUUGAUUACUUUUCUUGUUUCCCGUUUCAGAGAUCCGAUAAUGGAAUGCUAAAUCGAUAUCUAGGGUCGAGCCAGGGUACUUAUCCUCCCGUCUAUAAAUCAAUCACCAAUAAAAGACCAAAGUGGUGAUAAGUCAAGGGGCAGACAGGAGCAGCAUCGUAGCUAGGAACAGGUGCUGCACCGUAGCUAGUAGGAAGAAGUACAACAUAGCUACAUUCCCCAUAGGGUUGGCGCCCCUCCUCUCCAAUACAAAUUGAAUCAUAGCAAGGGCUAAGCUAUCUUAAAACCUACUAUCAAUCUGUUUAUAGAACUCAAUACUACUAUCCAUGAGAUCAUCAUAACAAAAACUAGAAUUGCCCAGCGAAAUAGGAAUAGAAAUAAAUCCAGGGUAACUUGUAUCAUGAGAUGGGUCCAUUCCAAUUGGAAUUCCGUAUGCCUUGGUUUAAGAGAGGAGCUCAGGUCCAUCUUGUGCUCACAAUACAUCUUAUUUAGCAGGGCCUCUGGGAUCUUUAGAGAAAGGCGAAGUCUCUACUUGUUAACCAUGGAUGCCUGUUAUAUUUACUUAUAGAGUGAAGAACAAGCCCACUUUCCAUAUCCCUUUCGUCCGGAUGAUCGAUUGCCUCAUUCUUCUUCGAAAAUAAGUGCAUUUGGCCAUUGUGUUUUUCCAACUUUCGUAAUAGAUCUGGGCAUGCAUGGUUUUCAAUAGAUAACCCUAGGCCUUCUUCGUUUCCCCACGGGCAUUCACUUCUCUUCAAGCUCGGGAUUAGCGAAACAUGGAUCCGACGNNNNNNNNNNNNNNNNNNNNNNNNNNNNNNNNNNNNNNNNNNNNNNNNNNNNNNNNNNNNNNNNNNNNNNNNNNNNNNNNNNNNNNNNNNNNNNNNNNNNNNNNNNNNNNNNNNNNNNNNNNNNNNNNNNNNNNNNNNNNNNNNNNNNNNNNNNNNNNNNNNNNNNNNNNNNNNNNNNNNNNNNNNNNNNNNNNNNNNNNNNNNNNNNNNNNNNNNNNNNNNNNNNNNNNNNNNNNNNNNNNNNNNNNNNNNNNNNNNNNNNNNNNNNNNNNNNNNNNNNNNNNNNNNNNNNNNNNNNNNNNNNNNNNNNNNNNNNNGCACUAACAAGGCUCAUGCGUAAAGGGAUGCCACCUCUAAGGGUGCAAACUUUACAACAGGAAAGGAACAGAUUUGGGAUCUUACCCUUGUCGAGACCGGUCGCCCAGGGCGCUUAGGCAAGGUACCAAUGCCAGAGGUACCGAUCUAAGCUUUCCCUAUUAAAGAGAAUUCCUCCUAACGUCGGAAACUCUAUUUAUUUGGGAUCGGUUCAUUUACCGACAUCCUCUCGGCUAUCAUACGUCCUCCGCUUAUCUCUCUUAGGCAUAGGCAUCUCAACACAUUCCUCCUUCCGAGUUGCUUGUCCGAACUUGGCUCUUUAGUAAAACGAAGGAGCUGCUAAGCUAUUAUUAGGUAUCAAUUUAGGAGCCUUUUGUCAUUUCCAACUACAUUAUUGUGAGCAUUCGGAACCCGUUCCUACGCGGUCAUCAAAUUGGCUGGCUUUGGACCCUCGAUCGCAGCACCACCAGAUCUUCAACAAGGUGGAAAUUCUCAUAUUUCGUAUGUACAUGUUCCUGCGGCUCGGAUGAGUCAUCAGGCAUAAAUUACACAAAGAUUGGCCAUGACUUAAGGACUAAAUAAUCUAAACAUGUUUGUUUUUGUGGAUCCUGAAUAAAAGGAGAUGCAGUGGAUUUCCCUCGGUCAAUAAACAACUGGAACUUAGCACAGGUACAUAUAAAAUAGAAAGGAGCAAAGGAUGCAGCAUAUCAUUCUAUUGCAGUAUUACACUACUUCUGGAACAACAUAAUUAAUAAAUUCAGCUUGCAUGCUUGUUUCAUGACAUCUCCUGACAAGUAUGGCACUUGCUUACAAGACUGCUACUGAAAAAGGCUACCUCUUCAAACUGCUGAAUGCCCUAUUCCAUCUAUCUUUCCCUGAAAAAGCAUAUACUUUUGUUCUAUAAGCAAAUAAAGCAUACUUCUUUUGCGGAUCAAGCAGUAUUCUACCUUGGUGGGUAUAGGAACUUGCUGCUGUCUUGGUUGGUUUGAGAGCAGGCACUGUCUAUAUAUCCAAAACUAGAGGAUAGUUCGGGUUUGGAUCACAGACGAUCGGAGAUUUUGGAUUGAGAUGGAUGGUUGUGCUUGAAGUUAUGAGUCGGGUAAUGCUAAGUUGAAUCGGCUGAUCCGUUUCAUCCUCUUUCGGCAAAGGAAGUUGGACUUUAGUUACCUAAAAAAAAGUACCAGCAGCCUGUCUGUGCCCUUUGAGUCUAUAGCCGCCAAAUCUAAAGAUUCCUUAAGUUGUCGUACGGCUUCUUUUUCUUCUUUUGUCAAUGAUCGGUGACAAUGAAUGCUACGAAUGUUCGCUUCCACUAAUGUUGUAUAAUAAUUGUGAGGUGCCCAUAGCUUCCCGGAAAGAAGAAGAGUCAUUGUCGUUUCCUGACCGAUAUGAAUGCACAUAUUGACCCUCGCCUCGGGAAAUACCACCAGUAGAGUCUGCAGAAGGUGUCGUUCAGGAGAUAUGCUGGGCUCUAGAUAUGCGAGUGAGAUACCCGCCCUCGGUCAAAAAAGAGAGUGCUAAAGGAGUCAUUCAGAAGUGAGUCAAGGGGCAAAGCUCAUUUCUUUCAUUCAGGAAUGGACACUAUACCAGAAUGAAAUGUGGGAAUAUCGGGAUUGGCAGAUUUUUUGUAUUAAACUAAAAAAACUCAACACGACUAGUGAAUUCAAAUUAGAGUCACUUGCGGAUUUCUUCAAAUUGUUGUAGUGUAGUAUUGUGGUUUUUCAGUAAAGACCCCGACCUAUAAAUAUUCACAGCCCGGCUCAUACGGGCGGACAAUAUUCACCCAGAGCCCCUUUGCGACCGCAAUGCUGUUCUUGAAGGACCUUACCUUAGAGCAAAAAAAAGGCAUAGAAGUUAGGAAGACUACUGACGUAGGGCGGCGGGUGAGCUCAACCUCGAACCAAACAAGCAACGGAUUGAGCAACUAGCGCGAAAGCUGUUGCGUGUUAGCGCAUCCGUUUUCUUGCUCCAUCGUUAUUAGUUUCUAUUCUCUCCCUGCACGAACCUCGGUCCAAUCAAUUUGUUUGGAAUUGGGGUUAGGACCGGUUAGAACUCCCAUUUCCCGAUCGGAGGUUUGAGCUGCUAUGGCAAGCUUUUUUUCCGAUUAGUGGGUAUGGGGAAUCCACCGUACCAACACGAUUGGCUGGUGUUGCUGAUACCGGACCCGUUAUAACCCCGAUUGGAAGGGCAGGCCAGUCUGACGCUCUGGGGAUGCGAGGCCAUUGAAAGUGAGUAUCCCAUAUUCUAUGACGGAGAUAGAUCAUUAAUUGCAGUUUUCACCCCACCUUAACGACCGAGCGAGGGAUGAAAUCUUUCGACGACUAGGGAGGCAUCACCCGAGGCCGAUUCCAGUGGAUCACUAUAGAAUCUUCUAGAAGCAGGUUCUCCGGGCACUAUGGUAGGACGUGGAUCGAUCAUGACGAGAAUGGACUUCUCCGUCAUGUAAUGGUUUAGAAGAGUCACGGUCAAUCUUUAUAUCCUUUCUGGCAUAGUUUUGUAAAAGAUCAGCAGGUGAUACGUCCUUUCUCCUCUGUCGUGGUUCAUGCAUUCUUCCUUUUUAGAAAGCGGAUAGGGAUCAGGUGAAUUAGAGAAUAGACAGACGUCCGUUGGCAUUUCAGCCUUUCUUCUCCUUUUAGGGCCUAUCCGAAAGAGAAUCCAGUACCUCUUGGUCCUAAAUAUCAGAAUAGGACGCGCAACAAUGGAACAACAAGAGCAAGACCGCUCCAAACUAAAUCACAGUAGAGGUUAUGGCCUCUCAGGCUGGACCAAAACAGCAAGCGGAAGGUCUCCGAAAGUCCUACAUUAGCACCAAGCCAUCCCCCAAGGGAGGGUAUAACGGAGUGUGGUAAAAUCCAUUUGCUAAUGCUCCUGGUUGUGGGUUCUUCACAAUUAGCAUGUUCGAUUCAAAGGAUUUCCACUUGAGUAAAGCUAUGGUGGGAAAUAAACUACCAAUUAGGCAAUGCGCGUCUCUAUUUCUUGAAUUCUCUGGUCUAGGCAACCCGAAAGCGUACCAGUAGUUUAUUUAAUGAACUAUAUACCAGCCUUGAAACUAAAGAGCUAUAAAGUAAUAAUUGGUGGGUUGUGAUAUCAGUAGGACAUAUCACAAUACAUUCAUCUAAUGCUAUCAGAAUUGUAGUCCUCGUAUGUACAUCUUCCAUAUUGUGAUAAAGCACCUAUGCCGCUAGAAAUAGUAGCGCCUUAAAGAAGGCGUUCCAGGUUCUUUUUCCCCUAGUUUGUAUCAGAGCUGACCACUGAUAAUAGGCAAAAUGAAACAUUUGGUGUGUUUUAGUUCAUUCUCAAUCUUGUUUCCCCUUGCGCUCCGAGGGAAAUAAAGGGGAAAUCACUGAUUCAUUUAGAGCUGUUUUCUAACUGACUCAUUGACAUGAGAGAUUGGAUGCGAUGCGCCAGUCACUCGUACUACAGCGGACAAAGGCCACCGGCAAACGACCGUUCCACAAUGGAACCUGGCACUACUAUUUGCCCUAAGGGCCGACCCACCUUUUUAGAGAAACAGACACAUGACAUCACUAUAUUACACAUUUUCGAGGUAAGAAAGUGGAGAAUGCACUCUUCCCUUUUUUUACAUUUUAAACUCAUGUUCAUGGUCUGUUUUAUUCCCAAUUGUUGCCCGUGUGAAAAGAAAGAAGAGAAAUUGGGCCAUGUUUCCCGAGAGAGACUGACUUCUCUCAGGCCAGCAGUCUUAUACUUAUAGUCGACUGCUCUAUGACGAUCUAACCUCUUUCCUGGGCUAUGCUUGCUCGUCUACGCUCCGACCAAUUCAGUCAAAAUCGAAAAAACGAUGUUUCCUUGAAGAAGUCUAAGAAAUAGUAGUAGUAGCCAAAAAGUGCACUUUUUCCAUAUAUUUCAAUUACCGUUGAGGUCCUUAGUUUAGUCAAGUAGGCGAGGGCAUUUCCAUCGCGAAGGAUUCAAUCCAGCCGCAGGUUCCCCUACGGCUACCUUGUUACGACUUCACCCCAGUCGAAGACCCCACCGUGGUAUGCGCCAAUAAGACCACCAAAGGCUAGCUGUACACAGAAGUCACGGGUGGUCAUUGGUCCGAUGCUUCGGGCGAAACCAAUUCCCAGGGUGUGACGGGCGGUGUGUGUCGGAUUUAGGGUUCUGGCAGACCCUUGAGGUUCGAACACUGGGGUGCGCGCGGAGGUUUCGCCUUCUACCUACCUGUUCCUCGCCGAAUCGCUAGGAUCUAAACUACGAGAAGAACAACACAAGAGACACAGGGUUUAUACUGGUUCAGGCCACCAUUAUGGUGUAAUACCCUACUCCAGUGUGUGGCGUGGUGGAUUGCCUCUUGGGUUGAUGAUGAACAAUACAAGGAAGAACAGCCUCGCAAGGGUCUGUUCUUGUGGUGGCGUUGUCCCUUUGGAGGGGUUGAUUCUAGAUGCCUAUCUUAUCUCCUGAUUCCUAUCCAGAUGCCUCUACCCUGCGGGUGGCUAGUCCUAUUUAUAGGCGAAGGCCCUGGGCCUCUUCCCAAAUAUUGAGCGGGAAGGGCGCCAACAAUUGGCCAAUUUGAAGGGGAACAUCUAGUACACUUAUCCUGACUAAAGUUGGUCCUCGCCUGUCAAAGGCUCUGGUGGUGACGCCGACUUGGGCUCCACGGUGACCUCCAUCCUACCGUUGGACUGGUCUUGGUCUUGUUGCACCGAAAUGGAUGCCUUUGCUUGAUGCUCUCGCCUGCGCUUGCUCCCCUUGCACCAAAGAGGAAAGAAGGACACUGCGCGGGCUGGCGCCCGGCUGGAGCCCUUGGUCGUCAUGGCUUGCAUCAUGGGCACCUCGUGAGGUACCCCGCCUUGAACUCUCCGCCUCCUCGUGAGCCAGCCUGACGAGGCCGUGCCUGAGGAAGCUCCUUGUCGUCCGCCCCGCAAGGCUUGGCCCCUCGCGAGGGUCUUGAGCUUGUGUUGAUGAAGAUGGGCCGUGCUGGGCCCCCUUUGAGCCACGCCCCAGGCCGCAGGCAGGCAAGUCUAGGGACCCCCGUUCCCGGAAUGCCGACAGUAGCCCCCGGGCCCAAUGCGCGCCCGGACUUGGCUGAGCAGAGAGGCGAAAGGGCAAGUGUGAAGCGUCGCGGGCCCUAACAGCCUGCGGCCUUGGGCGCCGCGUGGCGGUUGAUUGGACGUGGGCGCCUCCACAACCGCGCGAGUUGAUAAGGAGCGGCAUCUAUCCUCUGCCUCCUUUGCUCUCUCCAGUUGCUGCUCAGAUCCCCUUUCUUGCGCCUCUCCUUCCUUCCUUCGAAAUCUCCAGAUCUACUCCACCCGUGCGCCCUAGCCUGACAUGGCGCCUCGCCAGGCCCCGGCCGGAGCUUGGUAUUCGUCCGCCUUGGACUCGCCGAACGUGUCGGAGGCGAGCCUUGCCCGAGUGCGCCAGAUGGCAGCAGCGCAGGGCGUCGACGGGGCGAAGGUGUUUAAGGCCGGCUCUGCCCUCCCUGAGGGCCAAGGGAGCACCUUCUAUUCGCUCUUCGUGAGCGCCAUUGUCGCCGGUCUGGUGCAUCCCUUCUCCGAGUUCUUCUUUUCUCUCCUCUGCCAUUACAACCUUCAAGCUCUGCACCUCCACCCCAACUCUAUCCUCCUUCUGGCAAUCUUCGCCUACUAUUGCGAGGCUCACGUGGGGGUGAAGCCCUUAGUGGCCCUGCUGCGCCACUACUUCUCCCUCCAGACCUCUCGUGGUUCUGUCUCUGCGUGUGUGAGCUUCUUCGGGUACGGCAGCUCCAUCGCCAUUUCGAAUCCCGGGAAAAGGAUUGAGGGCUUCAGGAGCAAGUGGGUCUUGGUUGAUGCUGGGCGUGUCCACCCCCGGCUGGUCUUGCCCACGGGGCACCCCUCGAGCUCCGACGACUGGUCUCGAGUCGAGCUGGUGGAUCCCCGCGCAAGGCUGGUGUUGGAGAAGAUGGAUGCGGAUCUGAGGCCGGCCAGCAUGGCGGCGGCAAAGCUGACUAGCGCCUCACUGCUGAGGGAGUUCCCAGAGCAUCAGCUGGCUCUGCUUCAUCAGUACUUGCUUCCGAUGUGGAGGCCCCACCCGAGCCCCGCGGUCCUGGCCGAUGAGGAUCUGGCCGCGGACCUCCAGUCUUUGGUUGGGGGCGACGUGGCAAGGUUGGAGGGCGCUCCGACGCCCCUGUUCCUUCGCGAGGACUGGGAGCAGGUUGUGGGGUCCAUGCCCGUCUUCAACGAGGACGUGCCUGUGCCCGCGGAGGCUCCUGAGGACCAGGUGGACGUAUCCUCCGGCGACUCCAGCGAAGAGAGGGAGGAAGGGGAGCAGGAAAAGGGGGCUGACUCUGAGGCAGAGUCAAGGGCUCCACCUCUUCGGUGCAAGUCCCGCGCUCUUCGCCUUCCUCUGAGUGACGAUGACGAGGGUGAUGACGAGCAGGGCGGCGGGAGCCUGCCGCUGGUCCCGAAGAAGGACCGGACUGGGCUGACCCCCCGCGGGUACGCCCCAGCCCCGAGGCGAUCCGCAGGCGCCCCAGCUGCACCCGUGCUCCUUGAGGCUAAUCCUUGCAACCGGCUCUCGGGCUUCAAGUACGGCGGCAGGCUGCUCGAGCCCGCGGGCAACGACCUAUAAGUGCUUGAUCCCUGUCUUGUUUUUUGUUUCGUCGCUGAGGCUUGACGUCCGUAUCGCCCGGCUAGGCUGGCGCCCACAACAAAGAAGCCGAAGGGGGAUCCUGAGACUCCAUCCGCGGUAGCGCCUCUGCUCGCGAAAGAACAUGAACGUGACGCGCGGGCCUCUCCUGCCCAGGCAUCCCUGCGAGGCCCUGCCGAGCCGGCUGGGGCGAGCUCGGCUCCUGUGGCCCUGGCGACUGCCGAGGCACCCCCGCUUGACGGCGCCACCACAGCCACUGGGGCGCAGCAGGCUCCGCCUCAGGACACCGUGGUCACGCUGCCGUCUUCUCCUCCUACCCCGCCGACUGCUGCUUCCCCGUCCCCUCCUACUGUCCUGGAUCGUGCUGCUGCCGAACUGGACCGUCUGCGGCGGGAUCUUCUGAGCGCCGACCCUCGUUUGGUGGUCGGGCGCUUGGAGCUAGCCUCUGGCUGGAUUUGCUCCGAUGCUUCGAUUCGGGCGGUGCUGGUCCAGGCUUCGACGGCCUGCGACGAGGAGAAGCAGGCUGUCCUUGGGGCGAAGGUUGCCCGCGAAGCCGCCUUGCGGGAGGCGGCUAAUGCCCGAGGUCGUUGCGAGGUGCUGGAGGGCGAGCUGAAGGGCCUGCAGGACCGGCUCGCCGAGGAGACUCAGCUUCGCCUAGAGUAGGAGGACGGCAUGAAGGCUCGCAAGGCGACCGUCAAGGACUGGGACGCCAAGCUCAAGAAGCGCCAUGACCGCCUAGGCGCGCUGGAGCGAGAGCUGGAGGCGAGGAAGGUUGAGUUGGACGGCAAGGCACGGGUUCUCGCCGAGGAUCGUGUGGCCUUUGCGGAGAUGGAGGAGAAGGCCCACACUUCACUAAAGACGCUCUAUGAGAGCGGCCUGGAGAGCCCGUUGGCCGGCGAGGAGGACGGCCCCGCCAAGCUUCUUCCUUUCCUGGUUCGUGCCCUUGAAGAUGUCGCCCUUGGCCUUGGCCCUACGGCUGAGGCCGAGGCACGCGUCUUGUCUUCUGCGGCGCUGACGCGGGUCUUCACCCACAUCUAUCUUCGCGACCCCAACAUCAACCUCAACGGCCUGCUGGAGCCAGCGAGUGGCGAGCAUGCCGCUGUCGCUGCUGAGGCCGUGAAGGGUCGUGCGGAGGUUCUGCUGGGGAAGUUCCGGGCCUUCAGCACCAGGCCGAAGCAGAGCGCUGCCAGCCCGGCAGCUCCACAAGGCGAACCCGCUCCGUGCAACUCCAUGGCCGGCAAGUGACUCCGUUGUGGCUCCCGUCCUGCUUUUAGUUUCUGCACAUGUAUCAGGCCUCUGGGAGGCGUUAAAACUUGCAUUUGGUGUUGUGAUAAUAGUAUGGACUGUAAUAUUUGCUUUUGAAUUCCUUGAAAUUUGUGCUAUUUCCUUCCUACUUGAUUGUGUCCUACGCCGGCAGAGCCCGGCCCCGCGCAUACCUCAGCCGCCGUUAGCCCCAAUCGGAAACCAGGACGGGACCAAGGAGUGAGGGGCUACGUGACAAGUUAGGCUCCUGAGUCACGAUGCUCAGGAGUCCCCCUUGGCGCUCGAACAGCAAGUAGGGAGGUGAGAUGUGGGGGUGGAUCUACCGUUCUACGUCUGCAGAGCCCGGCCCCGCGCAUACCUCAACCGUCAUUAGCCCCGACCGGAAACCAGGACGGGACCAAGGAGUGAGGGGCUACGUGACCAGUUAGGCUCCUGAGUCACGAUGCUCAGGGGUCUCCCUUGACGCUCAAACGGCCUUCAUACCUUGGCUCCGCUCGGGGAGGGACGCGCGACGAACCAGGCCCGGGGGGCCUGGCUGGGUGGCGUGCGUCUGGGCGUGACCCAGGCGUAGCCCCCGUGCCCAGCCCCCUCGCGCGGCACCCCCAAGGGGAGGCAUUGCGAUGAGGCUAGACACUGAGCUCUGGGCUCCCUGAGGUUGAUGCAGCCCGGGGGCCACCCUCAGUUGUUUAUCACCAGCGCGGAGCAUAGCGCUUCCGUAUGCGUACGGGCAUAGCCGCUCCUCGGCAGUCUCAUCAGCCAGCGCAGAGUAUGGUGCUUACACUGGUGCAUGGGAGGGGGCUCCGCUCCGGGAGGAGCCCCCGGGGCGUGUACAGCCCCACCCUGACACGUGGAUGGCACGGUAGGGCUUGACGAGGUGUAUCUGGGCACCCAUGAGCCAGCGCGGGACUCACGGGGACCUACCUCAAGGCGGAUUGCGCCUGGCUCUGGGCCUUAUCUUGGAGUGUGUUCCUGCAAAUUUGGCUAGAUGCCGAUGCUCUACGUCCUCGGGUCCCGGCUCUCGGGCUGGUCUCAGCCGUCGCUGGCAUGCCGAGGCGUGAUGCCGUGGGCAGACCAGAGGGUGAGGGCCGGAGAGCCGAUAGGAGCCCUGAGUCGCGAUGCUCAGGCACCCCCCUUUAACGCGCAAGUUGGGUUAGAUGUCGAAACUCUAUGUCCUCGGGUCCCGGCUCUCGGGCUGGUCUCAGCCGUCACUGGUAUGCCGGGGCGCGAUGCCGUGGGCAGACCAGAGGGUGAGGGCCGGAGAGCCGGUAGGAGCCCUGAGUNNNNNNNNNNNNNNNNNNNNNNNNNNNNNNNNNNNNNNNNNNNNNNNNNNNNNNNNNNNNNNNNNNNNNNNNNNNNNNNNNNNNNNNNNNNNNNNNNNNNNNNNNNNNNNNNNNNNNNNNNNNNNNNNNNNNNNNNNNNNNNNNNNNNNNNNNNNNNNNNNNNNNNNNNNNNNNNNNNNNNNNNNNNNNNNNNNNNNNNNNNNNNNNNNNNNNNNNNNNNNNNNNNNNNNNNNNNNNNNNNNNNNNNNNNNNNNNNNNNNNNNNNNNNNNNNNNNNNNNNNNNNNNNNNNNNNNNNNNNNNNNNNNNNNNNNNNNNNNNNNNNNNNNNNNNNNNNNNNNNNNNNNNNNNNNNNNNNNNNNNNNNNNNCGAUGCUCAGGCACCCCCCUUUAACGCGCAAGUUGGGUUAGAUGUCAAAACUCUACGUCCUCGGGUCCCGGCUCUCGGGCUGGUCUCAGCCGUCACUGGUAUGCCGGAGCGCGAUGCCGUGGGCAGACCAGAGGGUGAGGGCCGGAGAGCCGGUAGGAGCCCUGAGUCGCGAUGCUCAGGCACCCCCCCUUUAACGCGCAAGCUGGGUUAGAUGUCAAAACUCUACAUCCUCGGGUCCCGGCUCUCGGGCUGGUCUCAGCCGUCGCUGGCAUGCCGGGGCGCGAUGCCGUGGGCAGACCAGAGGGUGAGGGCCGGAGAGCCGGUAGGAGCCCUGAGUCGUGAUGCUCAGGCACCCCCCCUUUAACGCGUAAGCUUGCGACAUCCAAGAAGAAAAAGGUACCAUGAACAGGCACCAAACAACAAGCAUGACGGGUCGAAAACAUGGCCCUAAGAUAAAUGCAAGAGGGGUACAUGCCACUGGGUCUGACCCGAGCGGCUUGGGGAUAAUGCAGCCCGAGGGGCGCCCCCAGCAGAGUGAGCUAAGAACAUGAAAUAAAAGAGAUACACGCCAUAGGGACGGACCCACGCGGCCUGGGAAUAAUGCAGCCGUGAGGGCGCUCCCAGCUGGAAAUGAAACUAGAAAGAUGUCACCUGAUGACGCUGAAGACGAAGGGGUGUUGAUGCAGCAGACUCGGUGGGCUAUGGGGGCGGAUCCUCACGAGCCCCCAGGCCCUGGGGCCUCGGGAGGCUCCGGAGGCACUGGUGGCUCCUUGCGGACCGUCUCCAUCUCCACCAGGGCUGCGGAACGCCUGACCUCUUGAGCCUCCAGGAUGGCCCUCAUGAUGCGCUGGUACGCAGCAGACGUGUUCGGCGAGCCGUAAGGCAUGCGAACGUAGAUGUGGGGCGGGCCCUCGCAGCGUCCCGCUCGUGAAGGCCAGAGGCGCUCCUGAGACGCGGCUUGGUUGAGCCCUGGUAUGUCGAUGCAGACAUGCAGCCCACCAUCCUCGCCUGGAUGGGGGGCCACGGCGGGUAAGCGGCGGCUGCCUCUCAUGACCCUUGACUCCUGUAGCUCCUGAAUGGCCUUGCUGACGAACUCUUGAGGGUUUGGCCCUCCUUGCCUUGCUCCCUCUUGAUGGAAACGUGCUUCGAAGCACGCCUCCACGUGGUGCCCAAGCGCCUCCCUCAUGACCUUGGCGAGGUCGACGGCCCUCCAGGGGAGAGCCCCCGAGCCCUGCCUGAGGAGGGUGCCGGGCGGGCUAUGCGAUGGAAGGAGGUUCCCCUUGAGAAGGCGCGGGUCCUGAUGGACCUUCCUCCUGAGGGGCCAGGCCGGCCGAUGUCUUCCUCUUCUUGGGGGCAGCCUCGGGAAGCCUCCUGCUUCCGCGAUCCGGGUCUUCCAAUGAUGCGGCCUGAAAGGCUCUCUCCAGGGAGCAAACUGCGUCUCUCUCUUCGCAGGGCACCGUGAUGACUCUGCCACUUCCUGGCAUCUUGAGGACGUUGCAGCCGUGGUGGGUUACGGCCAUUAACUUGGCCAGCGCUGGGUACCCGAGGAUGGCGUUGUACGGCAGGCGAAUGUGGGCGACGUCGAAGUCGAUGAGCUCGGUCCGGUAGUUGUCGCGUGCCCCGAAGGUGACAGGGAGGCGGACCUGCCCAAUCGGGACCGUGGAGCCGUCGGUGACUCCAGAGAAAGGCUUGGUUGGCUGAAGCUGACUGUAGGGUACUUGGAGAUUGUUGAAUGUUUCCACGGACAGGACAUUGAGCCCUGCUCCGCCAUCGAUGAGGGUCCUGCUGACUAGCACAUUGCUGAUGAUUGGGGAACAAAGCAUCGGGAGGACUCCGGCUGUGGCCGCGCACUUGAGCUGAUCCGCUGAGCUGAAUGUGAUGGCACACGCCGACCACCUGAGAGGGCGCGGGGCCUCGAGCUUGGGGAGGACUGCAUUCACUUAUCAGGCGAAAUGCGCUGAGAUGCUGGGGCUUGAGCUCCGCCUAGGAUGCAGGCGAUCGCACGUGGUUCCUGGAAGCCCCCACCCCCCUCGUCCGGAUGACGGUCCUCAUUUCUCCUUGGCUACGGCGGUAGCGGAGGGAGGCCUGCGUUACCUUGCAGGCGAUCCUCGCGAGGCUGAUCCCUCCAGCCUCCCUCACGAGGCGGGUCCUGCAAGCGAUCCUUGCAAGGUUGGUCGCGCCACCCUUGACGUGGGCCGCGGUCUUCCCAGCGUCCUGUGUUCCUUCCUCCUCCUCGUCCGUAGCCCCGGUCGCUGCGGUCGGGAUGCCGGCCAUUCCGUCCUUCACGCACGGCCCGGAGCUCUUGGCAUUCAUUGGUGUUAUGGGUGUGGAGGUCGUGGUACACGCAGUACCGACUGCCCUUGGAGGAUUCGGGCUGAUCUCUGCCCCGCUUGGUGUCUGGUUCUGCCGCGAGCACGGCAGCCCCCUUGCGCUUCACAUCCUUGGCCUUGGGCUUCUUCUCUUCAGGGUCUGCGGCAGGCAAUUCGAGGAGGGAGAGACGCCCUUCCUCAGCCCUCGCGCACUUGGUCGCCAGGUUGAACAGCUCCAAGGAAGUGCAAAGAUCUUCAUGCAUUGCAAGCUCCUCCUUCAUUUUGAUGUCACGCACGCCGUCAGAGAAGGCUGAGAUGAUGGCCUCCUCGGUCACCUUGGGAAUCUUGAGGCGCGCGUUGUUGAAGCGCUGGAUGUACUUCUGCAGGGUUUCCCCUGGUUGCUGCUUGAUGCGGCGCAUGUCGCUCACGGUAGGUGGCCGGUCACAGGUACCUUGGAAGUUGCGAUGAAGCGGGUGCGCAUCUCGUCCCAGGAGGAGAUCGUGCCUGGGGCCAGGUUCAGAAGCCAGGUGCGGCCCCGUCCUUGAGAGCCAUGGGAAACCAGUUCGCCAUGACCUUCUCGUCUCCGUUGGCAGCCUCGAUGCCCAGCUCAUAGAGCUGGAGGAACUCUGCAGGGUCAGCCGUGCCAUCGUAGCGAGGAGGCAGGUCUGGCUUGAACUUGCCGGGCCACGCGAUGGUGCGUAGCUCGGUGGUGAAGGCGCAGCAGCCCGCUGUGGCCACCGGAGGCCUUGGAGGACGAAGGGCUCGAUCCUGCGGGUCCCUGUGCGCCGCAGCUAGGUGCAGCGCGGGGUCUUGAUGUGCUGGAGCAGGGGCGUGGUCGGGACGAGUCGGAGCAGGGAGCGCUCGGGCAGCUUCUCGAGGGCGAGGGACCUCUUGGCAGCUCUGCUCCUGCCGUGCUGGUUCCUGACAGGGCGGGUUCCGCCCAGGGGCCACGCGCCUUGGAGCCAGGGCGCCUUCUUGAGGGGGAGGCAGUUGAGGCGCCCCAGGAGCUUCAUUGCCCGUGCAUGGCGGGGCGCGGUGCAGCGAGAAAGAUGGCGCGGGGGAGCCCCCAACGGCGCGGACGAGCUCGGCGACUCGGUCGAGCCAUUCUUCGUAGACGUCUUCGACGGGGCGGUAGCGCAGGAGCUCAUUUGCCGUGAUGAGCGCAGCUCGAGCCUCCAUGGCCGCACGGGGCGCGCGGGACGAAGAACCAGCAGGGGUGAGCAAGGGCAUAGCGGUGCGGCCGUCUCGCCUCAUGGACGGGUGCUGGGACGAUGCUUGCUGCUCGUUCCCCGCCGGGCCGGUGGCGGCGUUGACGGUAGGCGACGAGGAACGGUGAGGGCGCCUGCCGACGGGAGCCAUCUGGGCGACGCGGGAAGCGAGGGCGGCUCGGCGCUCGGCGCGAACCCGGCGUGCGUUAGACAUGGUCGCGACGGUCGGAGAAGAACAGGGAGACGGAAGACGAAUUCCGGAGCACCCCUACCUGGCGCGCCAAAUGUCGGAUUUAGGGUUCCGGCAGACCCUUGAGGUUCGAACACUGGGGUGCGCGCGGAGGUUUCGCCUUCUACCUACCUGUUCCUCGCCGAAUCACUAGGAUCUAAACUACGAGAAGAACAACACAAGAGACACAGGGUUUAUACUGGUUCAGGCCACCAUUGUGGUGUAAUACCCUACUCCAGUGUGUGGCAUGAUGGAUUGCCUCUUGGGCUGAUGAUGAACAAUAUAAGGAAGAACAGCCUCGCGAGGGUCUGUUCUUGUGGUGGCGUUGUCCCUUUGGAGGGGUUGAUUCUAGAUGCCUAUCUUAUCUCCUGAUUCCUAUCCAUAUGCCUCUACCCUGCGGGUGGCUAGUCCUAUUUAUAGGCGAAGGCCCUGGGCCUCUUCCCAAAUAUUGAGCGGGAAGGGCGCCAACAAUUGGCCAAUUUGAAGGGGAACAUCUAGUACACUUAUCCUGACUAAAGUUGGUCCUCGCCUGUCAAAGGCUCUGGUGGUGACGCCGACUUGGGCUCCACGAUGACCUCCAUCCUGCUGUUGGACUGGUCUUGGUCUUGUUGCAUCGAAAUGGAUGCCUUUGCUUGAUGCUCUCGCCUGCGCUUGCUCCCCUUGCACCAAAAGAGGAAAGAAGGACACUGCGCGGGCUGGCGCCCGGCUGGCGCCCUUGGUCGUCAUGUCUUGCGUCAUGGGCACCUCGCGAGGUACCCCGCCUUGAACUCUCCGCCUCCUUGUGAGCCAGCCUGACGAGGCCGUGCCUGAGGAAGCUCCUUGUCGUCCGCCCCGCGAGGCUUGGACCCUCGCGAGGGUCUUGAGCUUGUGUUGAUGAAGAUGGGCCGUGCUGGGCCCCCUUUGAGCCACGCCACAGGCCGCAGGCAGGCAAGUCUGGGGACCCCCGUUCCCAAAACACCGACAGUGUGUAUAGGGCCCGAGUACAUAUUCACCGCGACAUGUUGAUCCGCGAUUACUAGCAAUUUCAACUUCAUGUUCCCGAGUUGCAGAGAACAAUCCGAACUGAGGCAAUCUUUCCGGAUUCGCUCCGCCUUACAGCCUUGCUUCCCAUUGUCAUUGCCAUUGUAGCACGUGUGUGGCCCAGCCCAUAAGGGCCAUGCGGACUUGACUUCAUCCCCACCUUCCUCCAGUAUCUCACUGGCAGUCCCUCGUGAGUGCGGCACGCACCUUUUUCUUUGUUUCGGAGCGGGGCGCGUACUAUUACCACUACGUUCCACACCAUUUUCUAGCCUUCAUGCCGAGUCUUCCUCCGCCGCCAACUCAACAUCGUCGUAACCAAUUUCAACCAAACCUCCAUGCUCACUGGUACUUUGACGUCACUAUAGGUAGGUCUCCGUGGGUCUUGGGCAAGACGACUUUGGUUCACACGUGAAAGUGCUUCGAAAGGCACCGGCUCCCAAUGGUGAAAUUCUUGCUGAAAGCACAGCUACGUGCUGGCACUCAAUCAAGUAGUAGCGCUGGCACGUCACUCAGUGGCAAUUUCUCCUUAGGCGCAUGUCUCAGCAACACAAAACGAGGGUUUUGCUCGUUAUAGGACUUGACCAAACAUCUCACGACACGAGCUGACGACAGCCAUGCAGCACCUGUAUGAAAGUCAGUACCAUCCUGUUAAGGACAGGUUUUGUUGUUCAUAUGUCAAGGGAUAGUAAGGUUUUGCGUGUUGUAUCGAAUUAAACCACAUGCUCCACUGCUUGUGCAGGCCCCCGUCAAUUCCUUUGAGUUUCGGUCUUGCGACCGUCCCCACAUUUUUCUACCCCUUCUGUUCUGAGACGUGACUUUUCGUCGUCCCUCCUUUAAAUAAGAUCCCUCACUUAUAGCUCGACGGGACCACACGUGGACGGGGCAUUCAAAUUCUUUUUAUAGCAGGAUCGUAACAUCCUCUUAGUUUUGUCGAAAUUGGACAAACAUGUGUUCCUCAACCCUAGGUAGGGCGUGACUAGGACAUACCUAGCCACUCGAGCCAGACUAUUGUCUACCUAAAUAGCUUUUCGUUUGCCAUUAACUGAUCACCAAUGUUGCGUCACAGUCACUCAAAUACAGGGUUAGAGGAGCACCGUCCUUUCUUAUCUUGUGACCUUGAGUUGGUUAGGUGGUCAAUCUUUGGAUUCAGGGUUCAGUAGCACCUCGAGCCGAAUCUAUAUCGGUCGUUAUGGGUAAUCAUUUGCACCCUUAGGGCUUUUGGUACUUGGAACAGUUUAUCCUAGUCCCCUCUAGGCCAAGUAGUAUUGCACCCUUUGCAGCCGCUCCAAAUUACGCUUAUCAGAUCCCAAUAUCGUGCUAGGAUAGGAAGAUCGCCUCUUCCUGUGCAUUGUUGGUUCAUGAUUGUUCUGGAGUGCGAAUAACUUUGUGGGUGAUGGCUAACUUCUGAAACAUGCCUUCAAUCAAGACCAACCUAUCUAGAAGUAGCGGUUUCCUCAAAUGUGGGUUGCCGAGAUUCCCAGCGGGUGGUCUCGAUCGCUGCUAUAUGCAAUUUCUGGGUCCUGUGUUUUUGCUGACUUGUCCUCUUUUCAGCGAGUGGGUAUAUGAAACAUGCAUGCACUUUUUCCUAAAUCUGGAUGUAUCAAUAAGUUCAGUCCCAUAAAUAAAUAGAGUUUCCGACCUUUGGGAGGAAUUCCCCUUAAUAGUUAAUAGCUAGUUGGCUAGUUGGAAUGGCAGUACGUAACAUUCAGUGAUGAGUAGUUCAUAAUGCUGGUCUUAUUCCACCUGCAUGUCGGUAAAUAAAGUAAUAUAUUCUCUGACCCAGGGGAGGAAUUCUACAAAUAGCAAGGCAGUAUUGACUAUCUUCCAGUCAAGGGUUUGGAAGAAAGCACAUCAACCAAGAGAAUCGAUCAAUUCCUUUGUGUUUAUUUGCCUAACCACCCGAGUAUACUUGACUCAAGUAUGUCAUCUCAAAUCCAGACUAGUAAUAUCACAUCUGCAUAAGUCGGUUUCAACUAGUCAAGCAGUUCUGUUGUGAAAGCGGAGUAGUGCCUUUCCUGCAUUCCUUGGAUAAAGCGCCCUGGGCGACCGGACUCGACAAGGGUAAGAUCCCGAAUCUGUUCGAUUACCGGCUUGACCACACUGAUGCCGUGUUGUAUUACCUGGUUUCCCACCUUUGGAAUAGGGCCUUCUUGUAGCUAGGGUCUCCUUUGGUUGUAUGCUUGCUGCGAGGUCGCUCAUUGGGUAGGGUCUGCCUCAUGCCUAUAUUACUAUACCUAACAAUCUAAGUAAGCCCCCCCCCCCGAGGGCCUCCUCACUCCGAUUCACCUCCCAGGUGGUAUGAAAAACUGUUUAGUUUCUUUACCAUCAAUAGAGGAAUGCAUAGAGCUAACUCCUUAUCUCCUGGGCUUCUGGAAAGGUUGAUGCGUUAGUCCGUUGUCUUUCCUUCGGCUUUAGAGGGAUGAGUAGUUCGUUUCCUGGAAAAGUACCAACCAAUUUUUGAAUUUAGCAUUGUGCGCUUUAUCAAUUGGUCUUUCCCCCUCAUACUUCGAGGGUCUUCCCCUCGAGCUGAGCUAUUGAGAAUAAAUAAGUUGAUUCAAUCCUUUUGGAUUGAUCCACUUAACCACUGGUUUUUGGUUCCAGUGGCAACUAAAUAGUUUCCCAUACCAUUUGUGUUUUACCACCCGGUAUGGAGCCAUCUUACGUUUCGCCAGCUGCUCUUUGCCUAAGUGCGUGGGACCCAUUCAUAAGGUUUGUUGGACCCGGCUAAGCACCCUCCCGGUAGGGCUAGAGCGACAGCAAAGAAAUGGUCUUCUUAGGUUUGGCAAUUUUACUACCUCCUGUCGAAGAUCCGUCCAUCUACUUAUUGCCUCCGACCGCCUUCUUGUCGCCCCCUUUUUCUCUCCCCUCUUAGUGAACCCACUUUAUACGAUAUUUAUGACACAGAAUGUUGUUCUUUCAACAUGAUUCCUCAACAAUUUUGUCAUUCUAACUGACUCUCCGUUCUCUCCAUUCCAAUGCAUCCUUACGAAUACAAGAGUGGUUUUUUUGUUUUGGGUAUAGCAGGACUUGAACCUGCAACCAUUAGGUUAAAAGCCCAAUGCUCUACCAACUGAUCUAUACACCCGAUUUUACAAGAAGGCUGGGUGCGAAAAAGAAAAGAGGGCGGUCUGGCACCUUUUCUUCUUAUCAUAUCACAAGGGCGCGGCUCUGUAUGGUAUAGUACUGUGGAGCAAGUUUGGGAGUCCUUUCCACUCAUUGAGGAUUCUAUCUAAAAAAGAAGGUCAAUGGGGGAGACUACUUUGAAGUCCGGGCUGAACAAACUACUUCUCCUGCUACCAAAAUAGAGAAAUAAGGAAAUAAGAUGGAUUCGUCUAAUAAAAUACCCAAUGCCUGUAGUUGAAGAAUUGUUGGAUGAGUUAUCUUGUGCUGUUUGGUUUACUAAGCUGGAUCUGUGGGCUGGUUACCAUCAGAUAAGAUUACAUGAAGUAGACGAAUACAAAACGACAUUCAACACCCACGUCACUAUGAAUUUUAGGCCAUUUGGGCUCACAAAUGCACCACCCACCCUCCAGAGUGCUAUGAACACAAUUCUGGCUGAGCUGACUAGGGUUUGUGUACUUGUUUUUGUUGAUGACAUCUUAAUCUACAGCAAAUCCUUGCAAGAUCAUGUCACCCAUUUGCAGCAAGUAUUUGACCUUUUGAAGCAGAAUCAACUAUAUAUGAAGUUGAAUAAAUGUUCAUUUGCUCAACCACAGAUAGAAUACCUGGGUCAUGUCAUUAGUGGGAAAGGGGUGGCUACAGACUAAAAGAAGAUCCUCACAGUGAAAGAGUGGCCUACUUCCAAGUCAAGCACAUUAGAGUUUGGGCUUAGCAGGACAGGCGUUUCAUUCACAGGAGCUUAGCUCAUUUGACUGCUCAAAGACUUAAAACACCAAUGCAACACAAAGCUUUCCUUUCCUCAAGCUCAUGGGAUUACAAUAGAAUUACCAUCUAAAAUCUUCCACUGGAAGUUCUCUUUAAUAGAAUGACUGGCUUUACAUAUCUCCUUAUUAAUAGGAAAUGAAUCGGCAGCAACAUAGAACCCAUCCCAAGAACCCUCAAACCUCCCUGGAGAACACGGCUCCACAACGUAUUUGGUAGCGGAUCCAGUUUUCCUUAUUUGUUAACAUAUACCUUUCCUCUGCCUAUGAGCUAUCUAAAGGUCCAUCGUUAUCCUUUCCGGCAAUGGAGGCAGAAUCAAUGGUCAUGUCAGGUUUCAGAUUCAAAGAGAGAUGUCAAGCAAGCGCCGAAUCUGAGUACUCAACUUGCCCGACCCGCCUCUUCCACUAGACCUUGUCUUUCAAAGAGCAGCAGCCCUGCAAGCCUAAUAGAACCUUGUUUACCUAUUACUUACUUUUGCUUUGAGCGUCGCACUCCAGUGGCUUUCUUUCCUAUGGCUUGGAUGGGGGUCCUCAACAAGAUCUAUAUUAGUGUCAUUAUUUACUUAUUUAGACGAUAGAUGAUGAUAGAGAGCAGACUGGCUCUGAGGAAGAAUAUCUUAAGUAGUUGAAUCCGCUCCGCUAGGUUAAAUUGUAUGAUCUGAAUGUAGGAGGACUGCUGCUGGUGACACAAUUUCUUUUGGGUUUGAAGAAUGAACUCAGAGCUACAGUGGAAGUGCAGAUGCCUAACUCAAUUAGUGAAGCUGCAUCUUUUGCUCAAUCAAGUGCGGGAAGGAGUUUUGGAGAGAGGCAGGCACUACAUGAACAAGAAGGACAGUAACUAGAAUCAGAAGUCGGCUGCCCCGCAGCAGCAAGGCUAUGUCUCAGUCAAAGUUCGACAGGGGGCAAAACAGUUGCUGUCCUAAUAGAAGUUCAUGUCGAUCCAGCCAAGCCAGUGCCAUCAUUAGAAAGUCCGGCCAUUUUAGUUUCAGCCAGUUCAAGUUAGGGCAAGGAGGAAAGGAAGAGAGUAAUGCAAGGAUGUAAAGAAUGAGGUGCUAGAACAGACUGGCCCGCAGGCUUCCAACCUGACACCGCUUUGCUACUUUUCGAAAGAGGAAGAGAAGUUGCUUGUACGAGACUGCGCCUCCCGGCUGGAAACUCCAAUGGAAUUUUCGGUAAAUGAAAGCAAAGCGAAGCUUUACGACCAAGGAGAGAUAAGCAUAUUUUAUGAACGAUAGAAGGAGUGCUCCCCGAGCACAGGCUCGCUUGGAAGGAUAGAGCGCCGCAAGACAAGAUGGCAUAUUGAAGGGAAGGCUAUGAAAAUAAUUCUAGUCUCUCGAACGCCUGGCAUACUAAUACGAGCCGCAUACUUGAAUACUAGUGACAUAUUGGAGGAAAGGAGAUUAUUGGAAUACUAGAGGGAGUUACGCCCAUAAGAACUGCUGGCUGUAAACGCGACUUGCUCUGCUCCUCCUAAAACCAUUUUCGAUAGUAAGAUAGAUAUAGAUCUAGAGGGCCUAGAAGGGCAAGCAUGGACCGAAUAAUACACAUACUCUGUCUAGAUAGACGAUUUCUUCUUUCAUUUCCACUCAAAUAAAAGCACUUUCUUUCAAGCUUAUUUGCUUGAAAAAGAGCAAAGCAAUUCCAACAUAAACUAACACUUUAGGAUCCUCCAAGCCUUUCUAUAGACCCGUAAGGUACUAAAAACGAAAAACUAGCACUACUAACACAGGCUGAAGAGGAUGACCUCGAAAAAGAAUACAAUUAAAGAUGUGGCCUUCCCUUCAAGCACAUAUAUGGAUAUGGAGCACUCUUUUCCACCCUAAAAAAGAAUAGCCAGAGAUGGCUUUCUUUCCGUAUCAAUAGGUAGCCUUCCUUGCCUAUGGCUACUUUCAAAUGAAAAGGUCAAAAAAGAACUUGAUGUAAUAGGAUCACUUCAUUAAUGCUUUCAAACUCGAUUGUAAACUAUUCCCACCUAAAAGAUAAGCUUACUACUUCAAAUAGGUAGAUGGAAAGAAAGCCAUAUUUUCCACCUUAUUUACAUAUUCCAUUCCAGCCAUGGACAGCAACUCACUCUUUUCGAACUGCACUUUGAAAGCCAAACCCAAGAAAGACCAUAUCAACUACUCUCCAAAUAGCAGGAUAAAUCACAGAAUUCAAAUGAAAGACAGAAAGAGAAGGCAAUUCAAACCUAAUGGCCAAAUGAAUCCAAGACAGAAAUACUUAUAGCCAGAAAAGAAUAACAAGAGAACGAAAACAACUCCAUAUUCUACUGGCCUUCCUCUCUGAUCUACUAUCCAACUGUCAUGGAAGCACCACUGUUCACCCUAGGCUCACAUUUUGGCACUUCAUUCACUGUGUACUCAAAGGACUUGCUUGUCUUUUAACUCGGGCAAAAACUGCAGGAGUGAAUUGACUCGUAAUUAUACAAACAAAUGACCCAGCUGGCCUUCUCCUAUCCGCGGAAUCAUCGGGACAUGCUUCACUUAAAGUGAUUAUACCACAUAGUUUAGGGAAGCGAAGCCAUAGUUCGGGUUAGUUCACGCUAGAUUAUCGAAGCUUGUAACACCUGUUAGAACACAUUAGGAAAGCGCAAAAGAUUUCUAUUUGGAGUUCUUUCAUUUAGUUGCUCGAUCACUGCCAUCCGCAUUGGGCUAAUUCAAAUCCUAUGCUCCAUGCUCUUGCGGGUUUGCUCCAUUUGAACUUGUCCACACUGGCAUAAACAGUAUCUCCCCGGAACUAAGAGGCAUGUAUGCCCAUCUUUAUCGAUUCAAAGAAAUGAAUAAGUAUCAGCGAGGCAGGGAAUACGGGCCCGGUAGAGAUAGGGAUGAUCGGCAAGCGCUACGAGCGGGGCCGAUGUUUCGUGUUGUGGGUGGCCAUCGGAUUGUUCAGCGUGCCCAUGCGGAUCCCUACCAAUGUCCUAGACUACAAGUUCAACAAACUUCCGGCUUGGGUCAGGAUACAAAGUUACCCAGGAUGGGCUUGCCCUCUGGAUCACGCCGGGUCCUUGCUUGUUCCAAUGUCAUGCUAGGAAUGUAUCACGUGCCCAUGCAAACCAAAGGAAAGCAGAUACAACUAUUACAGAUCCUAGUCCUAUUUCCCAUCAGAACAUAAGGGAGUGGGCUUCCUUUGUAACAGCUCUGUUCUGGUCGUGGCUCACCUCACUGGACCAACGCUUCUGGUCGGAAGUUGGUCGAUCGCCUAGUCGGCAACCGGCACAACACGUUUGCCAGUGGGAUUUCUGUUGGUUUUCGUACUAUGCGCAAUGAAAGUUUCCAAAAAAAGGAGAUCUCUAAGAACAGCGUUCUACGGGGAGAAUGUGAUUUUUGUAUACUUUGACCCCAUACUGGCAUGAAACUGAUCGGAAAAAGGACCUCAAAUUAGGGCAUUAAAUAAUCUCUCUCUUCCAUCCCUGGGGUUUAUAGGAAUAUUCAGGCUGCACAUGACGAGUUAGGAACUGUAUAUUAUAGUCCAACAAAUUACUUUCUCCGUACUGAUAAUAAAGUUUACUAAAUCAAAUGUAAUAUCUUUUUAUCUAGAGGAGUUAAAUCGUAUAAAAAUCAAUUAUAAAUAAUCUUUUUACUGUAAUAUUAUUUCAAAGUAGGGGAGACAUCUGAACAUAUUUUAUAUAAGUGUAUUGUCAGCUCUGGUUUUUAUUGAGUCUUGGUCUAGAGGUUUAUGUGCUUUCUAAGGUUCUGGAUACAACAUAUUGAUGCAUAUCCAAUUGAAACAAUCAGUACUAAAAUAUGAUAUGCUUCCAUCAGUGCCUCAAAACAUUUGCUAUUCUUAUCUCUAGAAGGGUGCUUAUAUUGUUGUAGUGUUUAUAGCGAAAGAGGACAAAAGUCCAGCCGGACACAGUAUAACUCUGGUAUCGCGUCGCGGGUGAAAAGGGCCUGAAUAUUUCCUACCAGCAAGCACCGCCACUAACUCACACGUCAUUCUUGCAUCUCGCUGACACUGGGCCCGAGAAACGGCAGAAAGCCAAAGGUGUGAACCUUGUAAUCUUUUCUAUACAGAAAAACAGACCCUCUUCGAAGCUGAACGUUGUGGGGCACUGCUGUCAGCAGAACAUUUCCUAGUGUGUAAGCGAAUUUUAAUGUGAUAAAAAGGCAGCGAAGUGUUCCAGCGGCCAGCCAUGACGUUCGCCCCACCGUCCAGACAGAUAAACCCCUCACCAAGCAGCGGAGCUCAGCAUUUCCACCACACCGACGCCUCCGGUAUCCCCCGCGGUUCCCUUUCCCGAGAAGCAGCUGAUCUUGGCCGUUAGAUCGACGUAUAAAUAGCCACGGGCACGCAAGGCCGGACCUCUAUUUCUUCACCUGCCUCCCCUCCCACCUGGGCAUGGCGACCUUCUCCAUGGAGGUGUUCGACAACGAGGUCGUCCCGUCCAUGCUCAGCAGCAUCGCGCCCAUCCUGCGCGUCGCCGCCGAGAUCGAGCCCGAGCGCCCCCGAGUCGCUUACCUCUGUACGUGCAUUCGUUUUCGCGGGGAUACGUAUGGUGCAUUUCACAUGCUGUUUUGAUGCGUUUGGGUUUGGAUUUUGUGGCAGAGCGAGCACUCCUGGUUCAUUUUUUUGGCGUCGGAUCAAUGCCGCGUAGGCUAUGUGUAGUUGGAAAAUUUUUGUGUUCCCAUGUUCAAAAAUGUUUGUUCUUAUAUUUUUUUGGGGGGCACAUGCGCGCCUCGAUUCGUGGUUUUCGAGGAUGUUUUGCUUUUGAUUCAUAAUCAUACGAGUCUAUCUAGAAAAACAGAUAGUGUGAUUUACUAGAGAACUUUUCUGGCUUUGCCAUUUUUCCUAGCUUUGGAGAGCUAAUUUUGGAGUAUGUUCGUAAGCGUCCGCAUUAGAUUUUUCUUUCGGCGAUCAUCCAUACGUAUUACUUGUUCAUUUCGGAGCACCUUUGUGUUUCACACUUGAGGGAGCAGAUUAGAUGUACUAGAUAGUGGUAUUUCCGAUACUUUCUUCGUUUUGUUGAAAUCAUGUUGCAAUCAGAUAGUUAUGGUCAAUUGGUUUGGCUAGAAUAGUUUCACGUAUCUCGAAUAGGGACUCGGGUAAUUGGUUUCUAGUUCCUACUACAUCCUGCAAAGUAAAUGGAAGUUUCUAGCGUUUUGCUCGCUUUAUUUUUCUUUUUUUUGCUGCAAACAUAGGUCGGUUUUACGCAUUCGAGAAGGUGCACCGGCUAGAUCAGAAUUCUAUUGGUCGCGGAGUCAGGCAGUUUAAGACUGCUCUGCUCCAACGACUUGAGAAGGUGAGACACAACUUAUUUCGUCUUCCUGAUGAUUAGGACAAAAUUGUAUCCCUUAGGAACCGUACAUGCACCUUUGUUUGGAUGCCGAUCUAAUAUUGUUACAAUACGAAAUACUUGAAGGCCACACGCAAUUGACUCACCUACAUUUUAUGCUCCCACCCUUUUGUAGAAAAAGCCUCUGCCUCUGGGGAAGUGCUCACAUCAACUCCAAUUUGGAUGGAGCUUCUCGAUGGGUUAGAGCGUUUGCGAACCAAAAAGGCGGAAAACCCAUCCUCCAAAGUAGUGAAGUGAGCCAGUACAAUAAGACAAUAUGUCUCAUGGGCCAAGCCUGCUAUCAGGCAGUGAGUGGGAAUCAAUCCUGAAAGAGAGAAGGUCUAGUGCUCUUAGAAAAUAUUUAAUUCGCCAAAAACUUGGCUUUAUCAGACCAAUCCAUGUUCAGAAGCCUUCCAUCAAAAGUCAGUGGUCUAGGCCGCUUUCCUUGACUUUGAGUUGGAUCUCAUUCUUCUUCCCGGCACAAAAAGAGGGUAGACUUCAUCCGAGACACAUGGGUUCUUUUGCUUCCUUCAAAGAACUCGUCUUUGAGCCUCUAAAAAGAAGGGCAUAGUAUCCCAACCACCUAGACCACCUAAAAGGAAGGAAUUGGUCUUUAGCUUUGAGUGAUCCAACCAUUGGUGAAUGGGUUCAGUAAGGUAGAAGGAAAGGGCCCCUCCCGACCUGGGAAAUUCACAGCAGGAAAGACUGGCGCCGAUCAGCGAAAGAGAACCCUUCAGUACAUCGUGUUCAGCCCUCCCUCAAAAUCCCAUUUGUUUUAUUGAGGAAUCACUCUUGAUCCUCUAAAGGAUCUUCUCUGUCUAUAACUCAAAGUCCAUAUGUCUCUCAUGGAAGCGCUUUAGAGUGCCUAGACGAUCCAGCAAACGGGGGUGCCAAUGUUGUCCCAAGAACAGAUCACGGUAGGUAGCUGCUUUAAAGAGGUUGGGAGACAGACUGGUGAACAAUCUUCUUCUUGUUUUCUCCGACCUAGAGCAUUCCUUUUUUCAAUCGUACGAAGAAACUCGGUGAAAAACCCAGCUAUCACUCCUAUGAGACUGCUAACUCCCAACUCCCGAUACAUUCUUUAGAUUCGACCAAAGGACUCGUUGGUUUGGACAUAGUUUCUUUGUUCCUGUGUUUCUGUUUUGCUCUCCCCCUUUUUUCACUUAGUUUAUUUGGAAUGGAAAGACAACUUCCUUCAGUUUUUAUUUUUUUGUUGUUGCCUGGUUCGGUCUCUCCGAGUGGAAUAAGUGGGUCCUUCUUCUUUUUCCUGACUGAUGAAGGUCGAAACUGAAGAUCGAAUCAAGCAGAGUCUGGAUUCCUAUGUUCGUACCAACUCAAAUGAUUGAUGAAUUGGAUCUUGAGUAUGCUCACUUCGCUACUCAGCAAGGGUGAAAGAAUGACAAAGAGACUGACAUCACAGAAGAAGGGAAGGACCCAAUCGCCUACCUAUUUCUUGGUCCUCCCCCCUGGUGGGUACUUUAUAGCUCACAACACGAGAUAGGCAGAUAUGUGACAUAGAAAAAUUGCUUUCAUUGACAACAAGACUCUCUUCCUGAUUGGGAUUGGUCUGUGUAGGAUCUCCUUCCCUAUGAGACUCUUGCUUUCCUUUGAAAGAGGCAGACCCCUACUUCAAUUGCCAUCUGACGCCUCUACCCGCCCUUGGUGUUCGUAGAUCGGUUUUGCCAGUUAGGGUUUGUGUGGUGGGUUUCGGUUAUCUCGGGUAGCUCCUCACUUGGAUGAGGAGUGGGGAAAUAAGAUUGCAGGAGAGAUCGAUGAAGAAGUGGAACUAAAGGAUACUAUAACCAAAGCUUAAAAUGGGGGGGAUGAGGCUGAUGUUGAGCCGGGUGAUGAAGCAACUUCACCGCAGCAAGAAGCCUAGUGAGCGGUUGACAUGGCGGAAGGUCGUUCUACCUUUCCAUGUGCCAACAAAGCAGGCAUACUUGAUUGACUCUUUGGGGCUCAUGAGAGACAUUCAUAUUACUGCGUUCUGUGAUCGUAGAUCAUCAGGAUUCAUCAUUGUAUAUCCGAGAUCUGAAAGUGUGGCAAAUGGAUUUGAAGGCAUGGAAAGAGGCCGCCCUCGUGCAAGGCUUCUUUAUUCUCCCGAUUUCCCUCCUCCAGUUGGAUUGACACGAAAGUCUAGUGAUAAUGUCGAAGUGCUUUACAGAGUCCCUUUCAGCCCCCGCUUUAUCAUAGGAAGAAGAAGAGUAAUCUAGUUUAGCGGUAAGUGCCCUUUUGUUGCCAAUAUCUAGAGUCCUGUUGUGUCGAUAGAGCUCGGAAACGUCCUCUUUUAGUGAUGGAUUCUAGUAGCCCUAUGCCUAGAUUGCACAAGAACUACUCCGCUUCUAUAUUGGAAAACACUUUGUUUGAGCUUCUAAAAAGAAAUGAAGCUGUUACCUGAUCCAAGCAGAUAAGAUGCUCACGGUCUGUCCUGAGCACUACAGAGAUAUUUCUUGAUCCACAUGAGAGUCAGCUCCCUACACCUACACCGGAUUAUGUCAAUGAGAGCUUGCCAAUAGAGAUACUUCUGACUUAGAGGCACCAGAGUUGGCCAACUGAAAUUGCAUUGACAGCGAACCCUUGGUAGAUGAUUCAGAGCAAGAUCAUAUUCUUGAUGAUUUUUCCCUUUGUUUGAUCGAGCGAUGCCGAAUCUUUAUAGCGCAUUUCCACCUAUCCAUGCUUUACGACUUGUCGCCAUGAAGCACAUGCCUGCGAAACCUUCUUAUUCUACAGAAUAAAUAAUAAAGUACUUAGAAUGAAUGGACUAAAGAUCCACUUUUCAAAAGGGACGGCUCCGCCUACAUGAGAAGAUCUUUCAAGCGAAAAUAAUGGGUAGCCAUGAGAAAUCUCGAUCGGCGACUCUGAUACCAUGAUAUCAUUGGUCGAAGAAUUCCUUGCCUCGCGGGACACGUAAAGAGACCUACCCACCACCCUUGUGCGUGCGAACCUAACAAGAUAUGUUGAUGCCAGCUACACCGCGCUUUCUUUCCGAUCGACCUGACAUUCAGAGGAGAAGAAGGAAUGGUUGUAUGCAUGCGCCGGACGCCUAUCAAAAAGUAAAAGAAACCAUGGAUGGGGAGAAAGAAAUCCCUACUUACUUGACAGGUUUCCGGGUCUCAGAAACAUAGAAAGGAUUUCACAAAUAGGAUAAAUGUCCAGUGAGGACAUCUCCUUGCUUGCUUUUUCAUUGACUGAUUCUAGUGGCUGGCCCAGUGAGAGAAUUACCAGUGUCUGUCAUUAGACUUUAUCUUUCCACGGUGAACUCCUUUGUUGUUGAAAAUCGGCUGGCUGGAUUGACCUUUGGGAUUGAGUCACUCUUUUCUGCCGAUCAUCCUCAACCUCAAGCACAAAACCACCUGUCGGAAAAAAAAAGAAUCUCAGUCAACACUUAGCAUGUGAUGCAGCCUUUAAGUAUCCAAAGUUCUGGAACUUAGAUGAUGCCCUUAAAUGGUAUAACAAACACCAGACUAAAAUGUUUACUUCGGACGAAAGUUUAAUUGAAUUUGCUGCGCAAGCUAGUGAUCCAUUUUUUUUCAUAGCCAAGAUCCUUUCUCAGGAUGAAGGAGUGAGUAAUUAUCAUCAGGUUCCAGUGACCCAAGAUGCGAGUGCGAGUGCAUGUGAAAUUAUGAGUUAUCUCUUGCUUAACUUAGAAAUGGGUAGGAGAAUGAAUCUUCUUCCAUAUUAAGACGGUCAAAUCCAAGAUGUGUACAUGUGCUUGCGGGAUGAUCUUAAUAAAUUGUUUUUUACCAGAUUGAAUAAUGUUAGUAGUAGUAAUUAGAAGAAAAAACUCAUAGAUUCUAUGUUAACCAGAAAGUUCGUCAAAGGAUUCUUUAUGCCAUCUCCACAAGGGUCCGUCCGGUUCUUCCUCAAAUGGGUUACCUCAAUAUUUAUCAAAGUUUUGGUAUCUAACUUAUCCAGCUACAGUAUAGUAUACUCCUUCCUUGCUCGAUAGAGCUCUUUGAAUCCGCUUCAACUAAAUGCGUAAAAUAGAGUAAUUUCUUCAAAAGCCAGUUUAUUUUGAGAAGGCAGGAGGCCCAUAGUGAGUUACAAUAGUGCCAGUUCUUGUACGGAAGGCCGUAAUUCCGGUAACCUCGACUGCUCUAAGAAUGAUCCGGGCUAGCCGGGCACAUCACAACAAAGUUAGGUCAUUUGUCAAAAACAUGGCAAAUAGCUCAGUUGGUUUGGUAAGGGAGCUAUUCUCUCACUUAAACCACUCCCAUAUUAGGUAUUCUAUCUCGUCUUAAAGUUCCCCCGCAUUACCCAUAACUUACCACCUGUAUCUCCGGAACUCAAAUCGCAAAAUGACAAUGCUUUUGAUAGUCUGUAGGAUAUUUUGCACUUUCAUAUUCUAGUUCCUCAUUUGAGCGUUCUUUUGCUCUGUUGGUGGGGCAUAAACUCAGAAAUAGUUUUUGUUUUUUCUUUAAAUAAUAGAAGUACUUUGUGUAGAAACCAUUUUGAUCAUCCCCGCUGUUUGACUUAUCAGGAGGCCCGAACAAAAGGCUCUUUAAGGAACUAGUCCCAUCACUCUCAGGCCCGACACCAACCAAGAGGAGGCGGGGCUCUCUCCAAUCAUUCCGAAGAGCCAAGAUCUCGUAAAGUAAAAAUUAGCUAGCUCAGCAGGUUUGGACCCGGGUGAAUCAGUUCAGUGAAGGAAGGGAGCCUAAACUUAAGGCUUUUCCAAGCCUUGCCGAUAGGCGCCUCAUGGCUUGCUCAAUUCGCUCGCGGAGUUCUUAGAUCAGCAGAUCUGGAUAGAGUCUCGCUAUUAAAGGAAGAGUAGCGUGCUAGCGCGGCUCGCUUCGCUUUUUGACGCGAAUGGCUCGUGUUGCGCUAGUGACACGAGGGUAAAACGCUCGAGUUGGCUUGCUGACUCGAGGAGGGAAAGGCUCCAUUUGCUUUAGUGAAUCAAGGAAGAAACAACCAUAGUAACUAUCUAUGAAAUUGAUUGAUGGAUAUGAGAGUGGUGCAAGACACGAAGGUAAGCACAUUCUAUUUUUCUUAAUUGACAAAGCAAAGGGAGUUAUCAACCCUUUUUUCCGAAACCCUAUAACGGCUAGUUCCCAAUGCUCGGCUUCCUACCUCCUCUAACAAAAUCAAAGGUAAUAUCCUCUGUUUUCCAAGAAGAUAAGUUCUACACAAAGGAUGUGAACGGAACAGUUUUGGCAAAGGCAAAGCCCGGGAUAAAGGCGGUAUCCUAUGAAGAACAUCUUCGACAUCUCAGAAUCAUAUUCGACCACCUAAGGCAACAUGCACUCAAGUUAAACCCAUUGAAGUGCGCCUUCAUGGUUUCGUCAGGCAAAUUCCUAGGGUUUGUCAUUCGACAGUCCCAUCGACGAAGACUACUUACUAUACGCGUUUUUGAGUUGCAUUUAGUGCUCUUUUUUCUCGCUAGCUAAAUCAAUCAAUUUGACAAGAUCUUGCAUCAAUCACCUUGUCCGCUAGGGAAAUGCACUCCUGAAUAGACUCGAUUCCCCGCCCCGCAUCAGUGAAAUGUCUAAGACGCAAGGUCGGCUCAAGAAAUGGAAGUUGUGAGAUGGAAAGAAAACCACGAAAAAAGAACUGAAUUAGGGAUCAAUCCAUACGCGGCUUGCCUUCUCCCCUUCCCCAUAGUAAGCCAGCCAAUAGAAUAGUACCCUAACUUAAGAAGUUCUCUUAGCUAGCGCAUGUCCAUUAAUGUGACCACCGCAUGCUCCUGCAUGAGUUUCAUGAAUGGUUUGUUUUUGAAUCCUAUCUCUCUGGGGAAAGGUAUCUUUUUUCAAUUCGAACAACAGAUGCAGCUUCAAGAGAGCUUUAUUCGGCCUUUGUAUGACCGUAUUCCCUUCCUGUCUAUCUCCUUCGGUCAGGUAGUUCUGCUUCCGAUGCCGGAGGAGCAGGGUGGGAUAGAAGGGUAGUUUCUGAGUUUGAGAUGUCUGAGCUUGGAGGUUCCGCUUCUCUAAUGUGAUAAUAAAGCAACAAGCAACGCCGCUCCCGUGCGCUCAUCCCUUGCUUGUUUCCUUUCCUGUUGUAAAGUCUGCACCCUUAGAGGUGGCAUCCCUUUACGCAUGAGCCUUGUUAGUGCAUGUCUCAGUCCCUUGAGACAUGCUCAGUCCUAUGUUAGGAAACCAAACGGUGUAAUUAGCUUCCCCCUCUAUUCCCGGCCAUCGUAUGGACGAGGGCUCCUCUCCCUCUGCUCUGCUUCCCGGAAAGGUAUAUAUAUACUUAAAUUAGGAAUUGAAAAUGCUUGGGCUUGCCUUAUUCUCUCAUUUAAGUCCUUCAAUUCCCUUAUCUGGAAUGGACAGGGAUGUUGUUGAAGGGAAGGAACGGAGGUAGAUCGUUCCUCAGAACGUAGGAGAACAUGACCCACGAAUCAGCUCUAGUCCGGAAAGCCAGGGCUCUGAGCUCUUAUCCCUUCAUGGGUAAGAGCGAAAGCAAUAGCCACCAAUCUGGCGAAGAGGUUUCGCCGCGCUGAGCUCGGUGAACCGGAUUCUCCCGACCCCGAUGCGCCUUUGGAAGAGUAGGAGGCUCAUUCCACGGGAUCCCCUGAAAGCACAAAAGCAAAUGAUGGGGCGAACGAGGCAGGCCCGUCUUCUUCGCGGAAGCGUAAAAGGUGGGAUGAUGAUUCGGGGUCCGAAGAUGAUGAUUCGGGGGGCCCCUAGGAAUCUCCAGAUCUAGUGGAAAUCGUUUACGAAGGGGAUGCACAAGGGUACAACUAGGAGGGGACCUGCGACCGCCUUCUUGUCGCCUGCCUUUUUCUCUCCCCUCUUAGUGAACCCACUUUCUUUAGUAAAGCGGUUUUGCAUCCGUUCACUUCUUGACUUUCCAUGGGUUUCUUAGAGAGCAGGUGGUUCUCGGUUCCCCACAUUUUUCUACCCCUUCUGUUCUGAGACGUGACUUUUCGUCGUCCCUCCUUUAAAUAAGAUCCCUCACUUAUAGCUCGACGGGACCGCAUGUGGACGGGGCAUUCAAAUUCUUUUUAUAGUGGGAUCGUAACAUCCUCUUAGUUUUGUCGACAUUGGACAAACACGUGUUCCUCAACCCUAGGUAGGGCAUGACUAGGACAUACCUAGCCACUCGAGCCAGACUAUUGUCUACCUAAAUAGCUUUUCGUUUGCCAUUAACUGAUCACCAAUGUUGCAUAACAGUCACUCAAAUACAGGGUUAGAGGAGCACCGUACUUUCUUAUCUUGUGACCUUAAAUUGGUUAGGUGAUCAAUCUUUGGAUUCAGGGUUCAGUAGCACCUCGAGCCGAAUCUAUAUCGGUCGUUACAGGUAAUCGUUUGCAGCCUUAGGGCUUUUGGUACUUGGAACAGUUUAUCCUAGUCCCCUCUAGGCCAAGUAGUAUUGCACCCUUUGCAGCCGC
rnacentral:lncRNA from 1 species